UAACUGUUAUAAUUUAAACCUGCUCUAAACCUAAACUUGUGGGAAGAGUACUUGAUCUAAAGUCUAAGUCGUUAACAGAUAUGAUAUGGGAAGGUUGAGCUGCUGUUUAUCUGUUCCUAGAGAUGCUAGAAUUCUGGAGAAUUUUAUCUUUGAAAAAUCUUUAAAAUAACAAAUGAUGAGUUCCUAUAUGAUGAGAGUUUAAAUUCCUACCACAGCCAUAUAUACAUGCUUGCUAGACUUUGAGCCACAUAUUUACUUUUUACUGCUUAUGAGCAUUGAGUGUGGUCAAGCUGUGUAGACCCUUACGAGCUUGUCAUGUGGUUAAAAUCAAGAUUCACUUGCACGUUCACUCAUACAUGCUACUUCUACUCCGGAAGUACCAUCCACAUAUAUCCACUCAUUUCCAUCUCCACAUUCACCCGAAAUUAUUCUACUCCUAAUCCGGGAGAGAAUAGCCAAAAAUAUUUUCCUAUCCCUGUUACUCCCUGUGAAAUAAAUGCUCGAGUUAUCUUGGUUAUUACCACUUGCUAUAUUAUUUAAGGAGAUGAGUGCUCUAAAAAAAGAGAGAAAAGAAAAUAAUACGAGGAAAUAAAAAGGGGCAAGUGCCCGGAACCUCGAAGAAAAGAAAAAGUGAGACGAGAGGUAAAAAUGGACAAGUGUCCGACAGUAGAAUUAGGGGUACAAGAUACCCACCUGAGAGGAAAGAAAAAGAAAAUAUAGAGCAUCUCAUUCUCCCCAAAAAGGUUCAAAGUGCAAGAAAGGUAUGUAUCCCCUCAAAAGAGCAAAAGUAGAAUUAGACUUUCACCAUUAUUAUCAUCAUCAUCACCAUACACCAUUCAUUCGCCACACAUGCACAUCUUGAUUUGACUUAUUGACUUGUUUCUCUGGAUCCAUGGUUUGACUAUGCAAUAAAUGUCUUGUAAGUAUUUAUUAGCUGUCUCUCACCUAUGAGCUCCAGAUAUCAGAACCUUAUUAGAGUAGGGUGAGAGAGAAGGCAAUAUCACUAUGCCUCAUACCAAAAAUACCACAUACUUUGAGAGAAGGCAUAUACCAUUACUGCCUUGGUAAGGAUCCAGAAAUACCACAAAAGAGAGAUCUGAGAGAGUCAUAUAAGGAAUCUCUGAGUUUUAUUAGAAAAUCUGCAAAAAAAACCUAGAGCUAUAGCUGAUCAAGAAUAAGAGACAUGGCGCUUGACUUGACCGUUCUAUCUUUUAACUACUCAAGACACAAGUAAUGGUUACAAGCCCCAUAGUGAAAGGUAAAUGAGUAAGUUUUAAGUCUUAACAGUUUACUCUAACUCAGAGAUGAGAUCUAGCUUGAAUGCGUGUGUACUUUUAAGGCAUGAAACCACUGCAGAAACUCUUGAGUUCAUCCUUGCUCAGGGACGAGCAAGAGGUAAGCUUGGGGGAGUUUGUUGACGGUCCUUAAGUAUCAAAUUUAAAUAUCUAAUAAAUAAAGAAAAGGAUCCAAAUGUAACCAACACCUAGACUUAGGGUUUUAUCUGACAGAAUUCCACGAGUUUUGGUGUUUGUCUAUUUCUGUAGAGGGUUAUCAGGAAAUAAGGAAGAAAGGCCCACAUGUAAGGAUUACAUAGAGAUAUCAACGCACCGCGCAAUUUUCUACCAUCUAGAAGACUCCAGAAGCCACGGGAAGGAAGCGGAGGCCGAAAGGGGCCAGGCCCAGGGCGCCCGCCCUGGUGACCUGGGCGCCUGCCCCCUGCUGGAUCCUGUUCGGGACUCUCUUCGCACACGACGUUCCACCGACCUAUUGGAUCAACGAAAACAUAGUACCACAUCGCCUGCUCCCCAAAAAUGCAUAGAGGAGGAGGACUAUAUAAGGAGACCCCCCUGGCCCCUGGAGAAGACAAGAAAUUAUCAUAGAGAUUGAGGGGUGCCCUCGAAGGAAAACCUCUUCUCUAAAUAAUAUUUCUUUUUAGGCUUAGCAACCAAUGUAAAGUAGAAAUAGAUCUUCUAGUUUCUACUAGAUUGAGAGAGAUAGAGUGGAGGUGUAGAUCGGAGGAAGGCCGGCCUGUCGGUGUCUACUCCGAGUUGUACCUACGGGAUCAAGUCUCCUAACCCGAGGCUUGCUUCUAAGAUUCUUCAGUAAUUUGACUUCUAAUUACUAGUAAGUUCUUGUUUUAUUGUUCUUUGCUUUAUGAGUUUACUUUAAUCCUCUUCCGGUUGAGUAUUAGAGUAAUCACUUGCUAGCGUAAAUGUGGUGUUUAGGCUAGGGUACUCAUAGAUAUCCCCUGACUAGCUGGACCGUGGUAGUAGCGAGGAACGUGACAUUUCCGAGUUACCUUUGUAUCCCAUAUCUUGUUAGCAGGACGGGUAGGGUUUAUAGGUGCGGGUACAUCCUUUGUGGUGUCUAGAUUCCGUUAGCUUCCCCAAUAGAACAAUAGAUCAUCCUUACCAAGGUUAGAACGAGACUACGGUUGCAGUCUUCUCUAUAUAUCACUCACAUCGAGAAACAUUCUUUGUAGCCUAAAGAGAUAAUAGCAAUAGAUUUGGUUAGUCAGAUGCACCCUUUCUCCUAGUGGUAAAAAUAUAAAUACGAUAACUCUGGAUAACCUCCCGGGUGAAAUGCUCACCGAUAUCCGUGCGCUUGCGGAUCAUUUCCUGAUUGCGUUACCAAAUAUCAACAAUGUGGGCUGUAGAGGUAACUCGGAAAUGUAACGUUCCUCGCUACUACCAUGGUCCAGCUAGUCAGGGGAUAACUAUGAGUACCCUAGCCCAAAGACCAUGUUUACGCUAGCAAUGAUUACUCUAAACUCAACCGGAAGAGAUUAAAGUAAACUCAUAAACCAAAGAACAAUAAAACAAGAACUUACUAGAAUUUAGAAGUCGAAUUACUGAAGAAUCAUAGGAGCAAGCGUCGGGUUAGGAGAACUUGAUCCCGCAGGUACAACCUCGGAGUAGCCACCGACAGGCCGGGCUUCCUCCAAUCUACACCUCCACUCUAUCUCUCUCAAUCUAGUAGAUCUAGUCUACUCUCACAUUAGAUGCUAAGCCCUAAGUCUAUUUAGAGGAAAAGUUAUCCUUCGAGGGCACCUCUCAACUCUAUGAUGAACUUGUUCUCCUCCAGGGGCCAGGGGGUCUGCUUAUAUAGUCCCCUCAAGUAAAUCUGGGCCGUCGGAUCAAACCGACAUUGAUUGAACGGUUAUCCUUGAUCCUUUAGGUCGGUGGAGCGUAAUCCGUGAGAAGGGUCCUGAUUGGACUCAGGAACAGGGCGGGCGCCCUAGGGGGGAGGGUGGGCGCCCUGCCCCUGGGCCCAAUCGCCUUCUCAUUCGUUCCUGUGGCUUCUGGAGUCUUCUAGAUGAUAGAAAAUUGCACGGCACGUUAAUAUCUCUAUGUAAACCCGACGUGUGGGCCUUUCUUCCAUAUUUCCUGAUAACCCCCUACAGAAAUAGACAAAAACCAAAACUCGUGGAAUUCUAUCAGAUAAAACCCUAAGUCUGGGUGUUGGUUGCAUUUGGAUCCUUUUCUUUAUUUAUUUGAUGAUUAUAUUUGGUACUUAUGGACCGUCAACAAACUCCCCCAAGAUUACCUCUUGCUCGUCCCUGAGCAAGGAUAGACUCAAAAGUUUCUGCAGAGGUUUCAUGCCUUAAAAGUACACAUGCGUUCAAGCAAGAUCUCAUCUCUGAGUUUAGAGUAAACUGUAAAGACUUAAAACUUACUCAAUUUAGUUUUCACCAUGGGGCUUGCAACCGUCACUUGUGUCUUGAGCAGUUAAAAGAUAGAACAGUCAAGUCAAGAGCCAUGUCUCAUAUUCUUGAUCAGCUAUAGCUCUGGAGUUUUUUUAGAUUUUCAAAUAAAACUCAGAGAUUCCUUGUAUUACUCUCCCAAAUCUAUCUUUUGUGGUAUUUCUGGAUCCUUUCCAAGGCAGUAAUGGUGUAUGCAUUCUCUCAAAGUACGUGGUAUUUGUGGUAUGAGACAUAGUGAUAUCGCCUUCUCUCUCACCCUACACUAAUAAGGUUUUGAUAUUUGGAGCUCAUAGGUGGGAGACAGAUAAUACAUACUUAUAAGAUAUUUAUUGCAUAGUCAAACCAUGGAUCCAGAGAAACAAGUCAAUAAGUCAAAUCAAGAUGUGCAUGUGUGGUGAAUGAAUGGUGUAUGGUGAUGAUGGUGAUAAUAAUGGUGAAAGUCUAAUUCUACUUUUGCUCUUUUUAGGGGAUACAUACCUUUCUUGCACUUUGAAGCUUUUUGAGGAGAAUGAGAGGCUCUAUAUUUUCUUUUUCUUUCCUCUCAGGUGGGUAUCUUGUACCCCUAAUUCACUGUCGGACACUUGUCCAUUUUUACCUCUCUUCUCACUUUUUCUUUUCUUCGAGGUUCCGGGCACUUGCCCCUUUAUAUUUCCUCGUAUCCUUUCUCUCUUUUUUUUUCUUCUUUUUUUUAGAGCACUCAUCUCCUGAAAUAAUAUAGCAAGUGGUAGUAACCAAGAUAACUCGAGCAUUUAUUUCACAGGGAAAACAGAAAUAGGAGAAUGUUUUGGCUAUUCUCUCUCGGAUUAGGAGUAGAAUACUUUUGGGUGGCUCUGGAGAUGGAAGUGAGUGGAUAUAUGUGGAUGCGUACUUCCGGAGUAGAAGCAACAUGUGUGAGUGAAUGUGCAAGUGAAUCUUGAUUUUAACCGCAUGACAAGCUCCUAAGGAUCUACACAGCUUGACCACACUCAAUGCUCAUAAGCAGUGAAAAGUAAAUGUGUGGCUCAAAGUCUAGCAAGCAUGUAUAUAUGGCUGUGGUAGGAAUUUAAACUCUCAUCAUAUAAGAACUCAUCAUGUGUUAUUUUAAAGAUUUUCAAAGGUAAAAUUCCCCAGAAUUCUAGCAUCUCUAGGAACAGAUAAACAACAGCUCAACCUUCCCAUAUCAUAUCCGUUAACAACUUACACUUUAGAUCAAGUACUCUUCCCACAAGUUCAGGUUUAGAGCAGGUUUAAAUUAUAACAGUUAUGCCUAAACUUGAGAGAGAUUUCAAUUUUAAGAACUAGUCAUGGCAGAGCAACUAUUCAUCAUUUCCAUGUGAGAGCUUAUCAUAAGGGUUCAUAGCAAACUUUAUUUAUUUAGCAAACUAAGCAAAGAUAUAUAUAAGCACAAAAUUUUUAUUUGGGUUUUCAUGAUUUUACAUCUUUUUAUUAUUUGAGUAAAGUAUAAACGCGAGUAGAAACACUUAGCUAGAUAAAUGGGCCGGGGGUGCUCUCCCCAAAGCUGGAUUUUGACGUAAUUUCUUCUGAUAUAGCUAGCAGGUGGCGGAGGUGUAUUUAAAUAUCGGCAGCACCCUAACAGCAAUUAGGAUGUCCUCCGUUUUCUAGCCUUCUUUGAUCCUUGAAUUCUGUGGAGCUCAAAUAGACAACAAAGCUUUGUGGAACUGGUUAAGUGUUAGCAUAAAUAUCUAGCCUUUGUCAUGUUGAGCCUCCUCAAUAAAUGUUAUUUAUUUAGCAAGAUCAUGCACUUAUUAUUUUUAUAUUUUUAUUGUAAGAUGAAAACAUAUUUAUUUUAUGCCACCACAGUGAAUGUACCUAUGGGUUUUAUGCCAUGAGUAUACUCACAUGGGGCUUACUAUUUUUAACAUUUUUAUUUUCUUUUCGAGAUGAUACGAACCUGAUUAACUAAGCAAACUAUUUUAAAUAGUUGAAAGGAAAAAGGAUAACUACCAUGUUUACCUCUUGGCAAGGCGUUCGGUGUUUUUAAGUCCUCCGAACGGGACUCUUCGUUUUCUCAGUCGUCUUGGGAUUCGCUGGAUGGCGUAGUCGGUGGUUCCGGCGGCGCCUCCUCUUCGUGUAUAAUUAUCUUCUCUCUCCACACCUGACUCGGUGCUACGGUCUCCUCAGGACAGUUCUGUGCAAGCUGUAUGUCUUCAGACUUUACCACUUCUCCUUCGUAGUCUACCCAUCCAUCCUUGAUGAUUUGCCUCCUCUGGUUUCAGUUGCGUUGCCUAGAGGGAAGUGCAUGUGGACUUCUCCGGUUCUAAUAUAGAUGAUGGCUUUGAUAGUGUUGAGGAACAGUCUUCCAAGGAUGGUGGGUGGAUCAUACUCAUCUUCUCCCAUGUCAAUGACCUGAAAAUCAUUUGGAGCUGAAUGUAUAUUGGUUGUAGGGGCAUGGUUCCAUGUAGGAGCUGAUAAGUGACUGCGGCCAUUAUGUUGUCGUCAGAUCCGGUGUCGUAGAGUGUCUUCCGAAAAGAGUAUCUAUUGAUUGUGCACUCGAUGCUUGGAACACCAGGGUCGUCCUUCUUGAUCAGGAAAGGCGACUUGAGUCGACGAUCUUGACCUCCUCCAACAAGGAUCCAAUGUUUUAAGUCUUCUGGACAAGACUUCUCACCGUCUUCAUCCUUUAGGUGCAUCAUUUGAUUGGGUGUGGACCUUGACGUUUGCACCUCUUGAUACGGAGUCACCCAUGUUCUUUGUUUGCGCAGCAAUUCGAAGUGCGGUGUUGGCAAUAUCCUGCUCAGUGUGUUUGUGCUCGUAGAUCCAGGUCCUUCACUUGGUGGAGUCUGGGAGUUGUAAAACUCCUCCAUGUUUUGCUUGAAGUGUACCUGUUCAUAGAGACAAGGCAGAGAUCAAGUGCAUGGGCCCUGUUGGUGGAAAACACCAAUAGAACCAAAGGCGUAUUUGUUCUUCUCUAACCUUAAGCAUGGUGUGCAAGACAAAGUUGAUGGAUAAUAAGAUCAUGAGUGUAGCAUUUAAAACAUUUGUCAAAUCAUAUUGCUCGACCUAAUGGAAAGAUAAUCUAUCUAUAUUUAUAUCUUCCAAAGAUUGAAUGUGCAACAUUUUAGCUUAUAUGAUUAGGAGUGUAGGAUCAUGGAGGUAGUACUAGGAACAAAGAUUAAAGGACUAAACAUGCUGAAUCAGUUGGGUUGGUUAAUUUGGAGUUAUAAAUCAUACAUGUUUGUCUCUUUAUUUAUGUGAACGCCAGAACCAAGGAGAAGCUUGUAAAAGUGAUAGUCAAGUACCUUAAGGUGUUACCUUACUUGAAGAGUGAUGGUAUAGUAUCACCUUGUGGAAGCUUUCCUUUCUUAGCGGUUGUGCAUCGUGUUUGUGGCACCCUCCAUGGAUCAUCUCUCUAUGAUGAAUGAGCUAUGCCUUCCUUGUGCAAAUCGUUAAACUUCAUGUGUCUCCUUUAUCUCCAAUGAGUUUGUAUCUCAGGACUUCCCAGCUUGAUAUUGAAAGUUUUCCUGUAGGGGUUAGUCCAACAAAAUAUCCCAUAUCUACUAUAGCAUAUUAUCGGCUCAAAAAUCAACCUAGACACCAUGUCUAAUUUGAUUUAGGAGGGCAUUUUAACCUAAGAACUAUGCUUAAUUUAAAAAUCCUUUAGAAGUAAGAUCAUCAUUCCUAACCUAAGCACCAUGCUUAAUUAAGAGAUAAAUGAAACUACUCCAAGGGUGGGCGCCCUGCCCCUGGGCCCAAUCGCCUUCUCAUUCGUUCCUGUGGCUUCUGGAGUCUUCUAGAUGAUAGAAAAUUGCACGUCACGUUAAUAUCUCUAUGUAAACCCGACGUGUGGGCCUUUCUUCCAUAUUUCCUGAUAACCCCCUACAGAAAUAGACAAAAACCAAAACUCGUGGAAUUCUAUCAGAUAAAACCCUAAGUCUGGGUGUUGGUUGCAUUUGGAUCCUUUUCUUUAUUUAUUUGAUGAUUAUAUUUGGUACUUAUGGACCAUCAACAAACUCCCCCAAGAUUACCUCUUGCUCGUCCCUGAGCAAGGAUAGACUCAAAAGUUUCUGCAGAGGUUUCAUGCCUUAAAAGUACACAUGCGUUCAAGCAAGAUCUCAUCUCUGAGUUUAGAGUAAACUGUAAAGACUUAAAACUUACUCAAUUUAGUUUUCACCAUGGGGCUUGCAACCGUCACUUGUGUCUUGAGCAGUUAAAAGAUAGAACAGUCAAGUCAAGAGCCAUGUCUCAUAUUCUUGAUCAGCUAUAGCUCUAGAGUUUUUUUAGAUUUUCAAAUAAAACUCAGAGAUUCCUUGUAUUACUCUCCCAAAUCUAUCUUUUGUGGUAUUUCUGGAUCCUUUCCAAGGCAGUAAUGGUGUAUGCAUUCUCUCAAAGUACGUGGUAUUUGUGGUAUGAGACAUAGUGAUAUCGCCUUCUCUCUCACCCUACACUAAUAAGGUUUUGAUAUUUGGAGCUCAUAGGUGGGAGACAGAUAAUACAUACUUAUAAGAUAUUUAUUGCAUAGUCAAACCAUGGAUCCACAGAAACAAGUCAAUAAGUCAAAUCAAGAUGUGCAUGUGUGGUGAAUGAAUGGUGUAUGGUGAUGAUGGUGAUAAUAAUGGUGAAAGUCUAAUUCUACUUUUGCUCUUUUUAGGGGAUACAUACCUUUCUUGCACUUUGAAGCUUUUUGAGGAGAAUGAGAGGCUCUAUAUUUUCUUUUUCUUUCCUCUCAGGUGGGUAUCUUGUACCCCUAAUUCACUGUCAGACACUUGUCCAUUUUUACCUCUCUUCUCACUUUUUCUUUUCUUCGAGGUUCCGGGCACUUGCCCCUUUUUAUUUCCUCGUAUCCUUUCUCUCUUUUUUUUUCUUCUUUUUUUUUAGAGCACUCAUCUCCUGAAAUAAUAUAGCAAGUGGUAGUAACCAAGAUAACUCGAGCAUUUAUUUCACAGGGAAAACAGAAAUAGGAGAAUGUUUUGGCUAUUCUCUCUCGGAUUAGGAGUAGAAUACUUUUGGGUGGCUCUGGAGAUGGAAGUGAGUGGAUAUAUGUGGAUGCGUACUUCCGGAGUAGAAGCAACAUGUGUGAGUGAAUGUGCAAGUGAAUCUUGAUUUUAACCGCAUGACAAGCUCCUAAGGAUCUACACAGCUUGACCACACUCAAUGCUCAUAAGCAGUGAAAAGUAAAUGUGUGGCUCAAAGUCUAGCAAGCAUGUAUAUAUGGCUGUGGUAGGAAUUUAAACUCUCAUCAUAUAAGAACUCAUCAUGUGUUAUUUUAAAGAUUUUCAAAGGUAAAAUUCCCCAGAAUUCUAGCAUCUCUAGGAACAGAUAAACAACAGCUCAACCUUCCCAUAUCAUAUCCGUUAACAACUUACACUUUAGAUCAAGUACUCUUCCCACAAGUUCAGGUUUAGAGCAGGUUUAAAUUAUAACAGUUAUGCCUAAACUUGAGAGAGAUUUCAAUUUUAAGAACUAGUCAUGGCAGAGCAACUAUUCAUCAUUUCCAUGUGAGAGCUUAUCAUAAGGGUUCAUAGCAAACUUUAUUUAUUUAGCAAACUAAGCAAAGAUAUAUAUAAGCACAAAAUUUUUAUUUGGGUUUUCAUGAUUAUACAUCUUUUUAUUAUUUGAGUAAAGUAUAAACGCGAGUAGAAACACUUAGCUAGAUAAAUGGGCCGGGGGUGCUCUCCCCAAAGCUGGAUUUUGACGUAAUUUCUUCUGAUGUAGCUAGCAGGUGGCGGAGGUGUAUUUAAAUAUCGGCAGCACCCUAACAGCGAUUAGGAUGUCCUCCGUUUUCUAGCCUUCUUUGAUCCUUGAAUUCUGUGGAGCUCAAAUAGACAACAAAGCUUUGUGGAACUGGUUAAGUGUUAGCAUAAAUAUCUAGCCUUUGUCAUGUUGAGCCUCCUCAAUAAAUGUUAUUUAUUUAGCAAGAUGAUGCACUUAUUAUUUUUAUAUUUUUAUUGUAAGAUGAAAACAUAUUUAUUUUAUGCCACCACAGUGAAUGUACCUAUGGGUUUUAUGCCAUGAGUAUACUCACAUGGGGCUUACUAUUUUUAACAUUUUUAUUUUGUUUUCGAGAUGAUACGAACCUGAUUAACUAAGCAAACUAUUUUAAAUAGUUGAAAGGAAAAAGGAUAACUACCAUGUUUACCUCUUGGCAAGGCGUUCGGUGUUUUUAAGUCCUCCGAACGGGACUCUUCGUUUUCUCAGUCGUCUUGGGAUUCGCUGGAUGGCGUAGUCGGUGGUUCCGGCGGCGCCUCCUCUUCGUGUAUAAUUAUCUUCUCUCUCCACACCUGACUCGGUGCUACGGUCUCCUCAGGACAGUUCUGUGCAAGUUGUAUGUCUUCAGACUUUACCACUUCUCCUUCGUAGUCUACCCAUCCAUCCUUGAUGAUUUGCCUCCUCUGGUUUCAGUUGCGUUGCCUAGAGGGAAGUGCAUGUGGACUUCUCCGGUUCUAAUAUAGAUGAUGGCUUUGAUAGUGUUGAGGAAUAGUCUUCCAAGGAUGGUGGGUGGAUCAUACUCAUCUUCUCCCAUGUCAAUGACCUGAAAAUCAUUUGGAGCUGAAUGUAUAUUGGUUGUAGGGGCAUGGUUCCAUGUAGGAGCUGAUAAGUGACUGCGGCCAUUAUGUUGUCGUCAGAUCCGGUGUCGUAGAGUGUCUUCCGAAAAGAGUAUCUAUUGAUUGUGCACUCGAUGCUUGGAACACCAGGGUCGUCCUUCUUGAUCAGGAAAGGCGACUUGAGUCGACGAUCUUGACCUCCUCCAACAAGGAUCCAAUGUUUUAAGUCUUCUGGACAAGACUUCUCACCGUCUUCAUCCUUUAGGUGCAUCAUUUGAUUGGGUGUGGACCUUGACGUUUGCACCUCUUGAUACGGAGUCACCCAUGUUCUUUGUUUGCGCAGCAAUUCGAAGUGCGGUGUUGGCAAUAUCCUGCUCAGUGUGUUUGUGCUCGUAGAUCCAGGUCCUUCACUUGGUGGAGUCUGGGAGUUGUAAAACUCCUCCAUGUUUUGCUUGAAGUGUACCUGUUCAUAGAGACAAGGCAGAGAUCAAGUGCAUGGGCCCUGUUGGUGGAAAACACCAAUAGAACCAAAGGCGUAUUUGUUCUUCUCUAACCUUAAGCAUGGUGUGCAAGACAAAGUUGAUGGAUAAUAAGAUCAUGAGUGUAGCAUUUAAAACAUUUGUCAAAUCAUAUUGCUCGACCUAAUGGAAAGAUAAUCUAUCUAUAUUUAUAUCUUCCAAAGAUUGAAUGUGCAACAUUUUAGCUUAUAUGAUUAGGAGUGUAGGAUCAUGGAGGUAGUACUAGGAACAAAGAUUAAAGGACUAAACAUGCUGAAUCAGUUGGGUUGGUUAAUUUGAGUUAUAAAUCAUACAUGUUUGUCUCUUUAUUUAUGUGAACGCCAGAACCAAGGAGAAGCUUGUAAAAGUGAUAGUCAAGUACCUUAAGGUGUUACCUUACUUGAAGAGUGAUGGUAUAGUAUCACCUUGUGGAAGCUUUCCUUUCUUAGCGGUUGUGCAUCGUGUUUGUGGCACCCUCCAUGGAUCAUCUCUCUAUGAUGAAUGAGCUAUGCCUUCCUUGUGCAAAUCGUUAAACUUCAUGUGUCUCCUUUAUCUCCAAUGAGUUUGUAUCUCAGGACUUCCCAGCUUGAUAUUGAAAGUUUUCCUGUAGGGGUUAGUCCAACAAAAUAUCCCAUAUCUACUAUAGCAUAUUAUCGGCUCAAAAAUCAACCUAGACACCAUGUCUAAUUUGAUUUAGGAGGGCAUUUUAACCUAAGCACUAUGCUUAAUUUAAAAAUCCUUUAGAAGUAAGAUCAUCAUUCCUAACCUAAGCACCAUGCUUAAUUAAGAGAUAAAUGAAACUACUCCAAACCUAGACAAAUGCUAAAGCAAAUAAAGGUAGUAUGAGAGCAUUUAUAGAGAUAUACUCAAAUAGAGAUGAAGUAGUGUGAUUAGUAUUUAACAAAUCAAGCAUUUCUCAAAGGUAGGGAAAACCAACAUAGCAACUUGACAAAGGAUAUUUUUCAUGUGAAGUACUCCCCAAGCUUGAAUUUUGCAAAAUUCAAGAUUGGAUGAAUUUAAUUCAAUAUUGCAUGAUGAUUGGUUGGGCAUACCUUGCGCUUUCAUUCCUCGGAUCUUCUUGCUCCAAUCCUAGAAAGGUUAGUGACACGAAUACCCGAAGGAAUAUUUCUACAAUUAUCUUUAUAUGCUCAAUACACAACACAAUGUUGCAAAUAAUUAAAAGUUCAUGUUAUGAUCUCAUAAGUGCUUGUUUUAGGACACUAAGCUUGUCCUUGAGAAACCAUCAAUUUAUGUCGGCGAAGUGGUUUCCCCUCCAACGCUGACCUAUAUUAAGAUCAACUCAACGAGAUCUGCAAUAUUUAUUAUAGACAUAUACAUCGACAACCACCCUUUUAAAGUUUUUAUAAUUAGAAAGGAAAAGGGGGUUGGAGAUCUCAAAUGUGGUGAUGUUGGAGAGACCAAUAGAUUGGGGAGAUGUUUUAUAUGAGCAAGGACUUGGUGAGGUAUUUAUGAAAUAACUUCCAUGCUCACUGUUGUUUCUCUCAUUCUCAAACUCCAAGGAUGAUUCUUCAUGAAUGCUUAAAAUUCCUCUAGGAUUGUCUCUCAAGUUUGUUUUAUCCAUCCAUUCAAUGGUGAUAGCACAAGGAUUUUUAAUGCCCUCUAGCCAUUGAUGUUGCUCUUCUCGAUCCUCCUUGUGGUCUUGGUGACUCUUAUGCAUGGGAUGUCUAGAGAGAUUCAUAGAAUCAUCGGGAGGUUCAAGAGAAAGAGAAGAGUAGAAAUUAUUAAGCUCAAGGAUGGGUUGGAUAGCCGAAUCAUGGGAUUGAAAUGUUGGGAAAUUGGCUUUUGAAACUUCCUUUCCUCAUCUGGGAGAUGAUUCCUUCUCUAUCUCUAGGAUUUUUUUAUGAAGACUAGUGCAAGAAGGAUUUCCACAAAUGAAGACAUACCUUGCUUUACUAACAGAUAAAGAAAGAAAAACUCUACCAAAGGCUAUAUGAUUAAGACCAAUGUGAAAGUAUCGAGGAAAAACAUGGUCUUGUAGGGCUAGGUUUAAACCAAAAUUUAUAGAAAGAUUAAAAGAUUCCCUAGGUGUAGCUAAAAGUUCAUUAUCUUCUCGAUUAAAAGAUAGGACCUCAGCUAUAGAAAAGGGUUGGUUUUGACCUAUUGCAAUCAUCUCUGGACAUAGAUCAUAAUUAGGGGCAAAGAAAUGACUUGUUGACUCCCAUGGUCUAUGACUGGUCUCCGAAGGUGCAAAGAAUUCAAUAAUAGGUGUGGAAUUUGAGUUAUCCACAAAGAUGGAAAAAAUAAAAAGAUAAAAGAAUAAAAGUAUAAAAGUAUAAUACAAGAUAAUAGCAAGACUCAAAGUUAUCUCAACAAACCGUCUUUCUCCCUGGCAAUGGCGCCAAAAAUGCUUGUUGAUAUUUGGUAACGCCAUCAGGAAAUGAUCCGCAAGCGCACGGAUAUCGGUGAGCACUUCACCCGGGAGGUUAUCCAGAGUAUCGUAUUUGUAUUUUUACCACUGGGAGAAAGCGUGCAUCUGACUAACCAAAUCUAUUGCUACUACCCUUUAGGCUACAAAGAAUGUGACUCGAUGUGAGCGAUGUAUAGAGAAGACUACAACCGUAGUCUCGUUCUAAUCUUGGUAAGGAUGAUCUACUAUUCUAUUGGGGAAUCUCACGGAAUCUAGACACCACAAAGGAUGUUCAACCCGCACCUAUAAACCCUACCCAUCCUGCUAACGAGAUGUGGGCUGCAAAGGUAACUCAGAAAUGUCACGUUCCUCGCUACUACCACGGUCCAGCUAGUUAGGGGAUAACUAUGAGUACCCUAACCCAAACACCACGUUUACGCUAGCAAUGAUUACUCUAAACUCAACCGGAAGAGAUUAAAGUAAACUCAUAAACCAAAGAACAAUAAAACAAGAACUUACUAGAAUUUAGAAGUCGAAUUACUGAAGAAUCCUAGGAGCAAGCCUCGGGUUAGGAGAACUUGAUCCCGCAGGUACAACCUCGGAGUAAACACCGACAGACCAGGCUUCCUCCGAUCUACACCUCCACUCUAUCUCUCUCAAUCUAGUAGAUCUAGUCUACUAUCACAUUAGAUGCUAAGCCCUAAGUCUAUUUAGAGGAAAGGUUAUCCUUCGAGGGCACCUCUCAACUCUAUGAUGAACUUGUUCUCCUCCAGGGGCCAGGGGGUCUGCUUAUAUAGUCCCCUCGAGUGAAUCUGGGCCGUCGGAUCAAACCGACAUUGAUUGAACGGUUAUACUUGAUCCUUUAGGUCGGUGGAGCGUAAUCCGUGAGAAGGGUCCUGAUUGGACUCAGGAACAGGGCGGGCGCCCUAGGGGGGAGGGCGGGCGCCCUGCCCCCAGGCCCGAUCGCCUUUCCGUUCGUUCCUGUGGCUUCUGGAGUCUUCUAGAUGAUAGAAAAUUGCGCGGCAUGUUAAUAUCUCUAUGUAAACCCGACGUGUGGGCCCUUCUUCUAUAUUUCCUGAUAACCCUCUGCAGAAAUAGAGAAACACCAAAACUCAUGGAAUUCUGUCAGAUAAAACCCUAAGUAUGGGUGUUGGUUGCAUUUGGAUCCUUUUGUUUAUUUAUUUGAUGAUUAUAUUUGGUACUUAAGGACCGUCAACACUUCCAUGUUCAGAUAUUCGGAUGAACCUUACAUUCUUGCUUCAAACGCUGAACCGGUGUUUUAUGUCCCUAUCGUGAACAAGCCGGGAUGGUCUACUGUUGUUUUGGUGAGACCAAGAAAUUUGUUUUCCAUGCCAGACACAGGAAAUAACGCCGAUGCACUUGAUGUGGGAACCCAAGAAAUGAAUGAAUCAGGCCAAGGUCAGGAAUUCUUAAACUGGUCAAGACAAGAUAGGGCAGGCACAACUGGUUCUACCGCUAUUAUUAAUCAAGUGCGUAGCGAAGCAAUUCCUGAACCUGUUGAUGACUAUAUUGGUGACGAUGAUUCUGACGACGAUGAUACCUACAUUGAUGAUGGGGUUAUUGCACCAGUCAUGGCAGAAAAUAGAGAAGAUGAUUUCUUUGUUUGAAGACAAUUUUUUUGUUGCACUGUUUGAUGGGAAGGGUCACUUAUCCUUCAUUCGCAUAUGUCGCACUUUAUAUUUUUUUCUUUUGAACUGAUGACAUGGUUAAGUUUGAACCGUUGCAUGGAACCUUAAUGUUGCACGUCGCGAUCCGACACCUGGACACCAUAGUGCAGCACACGGACACAAGCCGCCUUGACCGUGAUCUUGCCUUGCACAUGCACGCCUCGCGGACAUGCUGUGCACGCACACGCACCAGCCAGCGGCCAUCGUGACCUUGCCCUGCCGCCGUCCAAGCACGCCAGCAAGCACACGUGCAGCUCGGCUUCGGACAUCUGCACAGCCAUAGCACGCGCCAUCGACGCAACACCAUUGGCUUGAUCAGCACGGUGUCGCCGCGCCACUCGCGGCCACCGUGGCCUCGCCGUGGACACCGCGCCCAAGGACACGCACCAGCACUUCCAUGAAGCACAACCCUACUCAGGCCAACGCACACUCACGCACAGCACCAGCACACGCCAUGCCUUGCUUUUCGUCGAGCACCUUUCGAGCACCUUUUCGUCGAGCACCUUUGGAGCACCAGCACGCGUUGCACUUGAACACAAUUUUCGCUUCGACCACAGAGAAAAAUAAAAUUUAGCACUUGCAACAAUAUCACAGUAUAUUGCAACUGCCAAAAAAGGUUGCAAUUGACCCCCCCACUUUUGCUUCGCCUCCAAGAGUUCUCGUUGCAUUAAGCAUCUAGCAUUUGCAACGCUUGUCAAAUUUUAUGCAACAAAAAAAACGCAGCAAUAGUCAAAACCAAAUGCAACUAACGUAAAUGUAGUUGCAGUACUACCACACAAUUGCAACCAAAAUCAAUUCUGCUGCAACCAUUUUUCACCGUUGCAAUAUCGUCCACCAAAUGCAUCAGAGCUUUGCAAUAUCUUGAAAACCGUUGUAUUAAAGGCAUGUAUAGCUACCAUUUUUUAGAAUGGUUAUAAUACAACGAUCUCUAGCAACCAAAUUUUCUACGUUGCAAUUCUUCGAUGUUGCAUUAGACCGAAAAGCUUGUACUGUAUGGUCCUACAAUACCAACCCAAACAUGGUGGAAUACGUCGGCCAUCAGGGCAGUCACCACCUGGGGCUACCACAACUAUCCGUAGAACUAGGUGUAAUUCAAGGUAAUAUAUAGACUAAGCACCAUGCUUAACAUAUUAAUUACUACUCUAGCGUUGCAAAGACUAGAGCACUUGAUGCAAGCGAGAAACUAAUAAAUGAACUUAAAGUACUAAGAUUAAGUAAAUAAAGAACUUAGAAUAGUAAUUAAGGCACCUGAAGAUUGCUGAAUGAUGAACCAGAUACUGCAAAAGUACUAUGUUGAGGAAGAUCCGGCAGAUCUAGCUCCUCCUUCGCUCUCUCCUCUUCUCUCUCCCUCUUCUAAUUACAACUAGAUGAACUAGAACUAGAACUAGAAGAACUAAAACUAGAUGAACUAGAACUAGAACUAGAAGAACUAGAACUAGAUGAACUAGAGGGACACUACUAACCCUAAUUUGUGUAGAGAAUAUGAAGCACCAGGGUGUAGAAUGCCUCUUGGGGAGAGCAUUGGGCGUCCUUAUAUAGGCCGAGGUGGUGUAGGGGGCAAGGAACCGCCACGUCAGCGAUCCGCGUCUUCAUAUUGUGUGCACCAUCGGAUCAAACCGACUUAAAAUCGAUGGAGGAAUACUUUGCUUGGCUUCCAAGGAGGCGUGGGAAGAAGACUCCAGAAGGCAGCGGCCAUCAGGCGAAAUAGGGCACCGACUGGCCCUAGGGUGGGGCCAGCCGGCCCCACCUUCUCUCCUCUGUGGGUCUCGUUUCUUCGGGUGACUUCUGGACCCUUCUUGAGCCUCAUGACGAUAUUUUGCGUCAUAAUUAUGCACUCUAACCCUUCUUUUAUGCUUUUUUGGAAUAAUCCCUGGGAAAUAUGAAACAUGCAAAACUCGUGGAAAUUGUCAGUUAAAAGCCUAGACUAGUGGGUAUUCAUGUAUCCUUUCAUGUCUAAAGUUCUAAUAAAAAUUGACGUUAUCCACUGUCAACAUUUGUGUCCUAGGUCAAGGUCUUGUUGAUUUUUUAGAUUGUGUUCUUUUCUAGUUUGUGUUAAUCUCUCCAUCCGCCGUCAUUCCGUAUCACCAUCUAUUUGCAUCUUGUGUCCACUAAAACCCUAAUUCGAGCAGUUUGCUUAAAAUUGUCAUAACUUUUACAUCCAAACUCGAAACGGAGCGAAUUUUAUAUCUAAGGAGAACGUCACAAAAUUUUAGAUCUAUUUUAUCCAAGCAAAGGUGGGUUUGUAAAAAUAGAUUUGCGAGAUUCAACUAGGAAAAUCGAGUUUCUGGGACCACAAGUUUUGGUAUGCUUUUUGGAGCACAAUUCUAAUUUUGUAUAGGCCACAUCUUUUAUCGAAUUGAGCUCAAUUUUUUUGUGGUUUAACCUUGUGUGCUUCUUGCUGUUAAAAAAUAUCAUAGUGCAAAAGCAAGAAAAAAAGUUUGGACAAAAAAAGAAAAGGAAAAAUAGUAAAAGAAAAGAGAAGAGACCGAAAAAGGAGCACGCAAGGAACACUCAAUAGCUCUAUUGUUUGUGGUGCCUUUUUCCUUGUCCAUAUUUCCAAUGCUACCUUUCAUACUUGUUUCUAUUCAUACUUAUUUCACUCCCUUGUUUAUCACAACUGGUACUAGAAACACAUAUAGGCCAGCAACUAAGACAAGUCCUCUGGACAUUUAUUCAAUAUUGCUAUCUGUUACUGACUUGUGUGCCACGUAUACAUAUUUAUUCUUUUGUGUGCCUCCUAAGCUCCACAAAUACUUCAGAUCGGUACAGAAAAGACCAUUGCAAUCUUGGUCUACGCCUUUCAGGUAUCCUUUGUCUUGACAGUAAGAACCUUGUAAGCACUUGAUAAGGUGUUUACUGUGCUUUGAUCUUGAGAGGCACCACUCCACCUGCGUAGUCAAAUUAUUUAGGUUAAUCUUCACUGUUUGUUGCUGUGUUUCAUGUCUACAAUGGCAGGUUAUAACACUCAUCAUUAUGAGAAAUCAAUGAUGCAUGAGACACACACUAUUGCUGCUACACCUUUUCUCGUAGGUCAUUUUAUUAUUUCUUCCCUGCCUACUUAUGAAGGUAUUGGUGCUGAUAAAUACAUUGAGUUGGAAAGUAAAAUAGAUAAUAUUUUUGCACAAAGUUGUAUGUGUGAACAGAGAAAGAUUAAGAAUGCAUCUAGUGUUUUAUGACAUUUAGUAUCAACUUAGUGGGAGUCUUUAAGUUCUUGAGAUAAGCCUCAUACAUGGAAUGAUAUGAAAAUUGUUAUGAGAGAAACGUUUGUUCAACCAUAUCGUGUGAUUUAUUCAAGUGAUGAGGUCCAUCAACUAGAUUAGUCCCUUGUUAUUCCUCCUGCUAUGGCUAACCUUUUGCAGGACCAUAUACAAAAGAGUGAGGAUGAUGUGAUAGAAAAUGAGGUGCUCCCAUCCUCAUGUGAAAAUUCAGAACCAUCACCUAUAACUUCUCUUGAGAAUGAGAGCCAAGGUAAUGCCCAUGAUGCUGAACUCAUUGAAGGUGUGAGUUCUCUUGAUGUGCUAAAUUUUUCCACCAACCAUGCUAUGAUGGAGCAACAUUUAGUGAACACUAAAACUGAAUUGCCUUAGUCACAAAAUAAUUGUUCUAAUAAUGCUUAUGAUAAAGAAGAGUUCUGUGAUAAGGAUUUUAUUAUACCUAUACAACUAGUGGAUGAGCAUGAUGCUUUUAUUUUGCAACCAAAUACUAGUGCUCAAAAUAAAUAUUUGCUUCCAAUUGCUAAUGAAAAAAAUGAACUAAAUUUGUUGUCUUCAAUACUUUGGGAUAUAUUGACUUUGAAACUUUGUGUGCUCUAAGUAGUUUGGAGGAGAAAUUUAAAUGUGCUGAAUUAUCAUGGUUAUCUAGAUAUACAUAUCACUUUAUUAGCAAAUAUAAUUGUAAAGGAGUGUAUAUGGUGCAUCGUGUCUACUUUUGUUUAAAUCUGAAAUGUCCGUUUGGUGUGCAACAAUAUUAUCAAUUAGAGGGCUGCAAUAGAUAUAAUUAUGUUAUGUCGAGAUCCCCAAAUUUUGUUGUAAGGAAACAGGUUAGUUUUCAAGGAGAGCAAAGUUGGUUACUACCUAUAACCUACUCUUCAACAAAGCUCAAACUGAGGACGGUUUGCUGUCAAGAAGGGUAGAAUGAUGAGGACAUGACGCCUUUGGGUAUAACUAUUGAUUAUAUGGUGAGCUCAUUAAUAUAUUUAUAUAAUAAUUUUUGGUACAAUUCACUUGGUUCCACAUGUACAUGUUAUUAUUUGAUUGUACAAACUGCAAGUCCAUACAAAGUUGUACUUUCGAUAUGUCGGCAGCCCGAUAGUGCUUUAUUGGGAAGGGCAUAACUCAUCCAUCAAAAAUGAGAUUAAGGUCAAUGAGCACUUGAUGGAAAGCUUAUUUGAUAAGCUUUGAAAUAGAUUAGGUACCACAUCAACAUCACAUCGGCAAGGCUCUCAAAUUGUUAUUAUAUUCUGUCAUUGUUUCUGCCGAGAGCUACUUUAUCAUCAUGGACAUAUUUUUUAUUCAUGGGACCCUGGCCCAAUUGGGAGCACAUCCAAGGAGAAGGAGAAGCCAGAAAGGGAGCCCUUGGACGUCCUCCUCCUUGGCUACCACCUUAAAAGGUCAGCAAGGUCGUUCAAACCAAGUCAGAGGCCCAAUCCAUAUCAAGUUCGAGUCUAUGUCGGGUUCCAGGACCAGCAUUCAGUAAAACGGACGCCCAGGAAACAUCCGGAUUGCAUUGGUGAUGAUCCACAUAUGGAUGGAGAGAUAAUUUCAUAAGCUAACCAGUGGCUUUAUUUUGAGGACCAAAUUCCACAGGAUUCAACAGGAAUCAUUGAAACAAUUUGACGUCCAGAAUCUAUCAGGGCGCAGCGUCGCCGUAUUUUGGGCUAUUGGGCCUCGUAACGUGUUAGGGCACCUUAUGCACGUGAAGAGGGGUUCUUAGAUGUCCCUUAGGCUAUAUAAUUAGUUGUCGCCACCUACAUUAGGGUUUGGGUUUUGCUUUGAUUAAUCUGUCAAGAACAGUUUCGUCAUUUUAUCGGUUUGUGAGACCCUAACUCGUGAGAUUAAUCACUAAUUUGUGAAUUAGUUGCAUUCUUUCUUGUUCUUGCUUGUGUUAUUUGAUUCGCAGGCAAGGAUUAGCCUUCUUAGGGAGGUUGACCAUGCUGCACCGGUCGAUAACUAGAAGAGAUGUGGUGCUAUGAUUGCAGGGUUCGGUUCUUUGUGAUAUGAAGCCGGAUCGAUGUGUCGCUCUUCGAACAAAUCGUUGUUUAUCUUGAACUUGACGGAAGAUCCAGAACCCUGUCCCUAUUAAUUAAUCUAAGUUUCAUGGGCUGCAUAUGCUUGAUCUUAGUUAUGCUUAAUAAGAUUAGGUGUAGUAGAGUCAGAGUAAAUCUUUUAACUUGCCUAAAGAUAAGUUAAGAUAAAGUCUGGAGUUUUAUUUUAAGAAAAUCACAAACCCUGAAAAGCUCCUCUAUGGUAUUUUUCCUUGUCCUACCACUAGCCAUAUAUACACAUCUAUUAGAAAGGAAGUGUGGUAGAACCUCCUAAGUAGUUGGGCCCACCGACACCUGUCAUUGUCCCAAAGGCCUCUGACGGUGAUGCCGGGGAUCCAUCUACUCUAGAAGCCCGAUGAGCAUCCCAGGACGCCCGUUCCACUGCUACUUGUGGCGUAAUAACAGGACUCGUCCCGACCACCAACACUGAUCAAUUAACGAGAACUUCUUCUUCUCACCCUUACAGGAUAGCAAGUGACCACAUUAACACCAGGAUCAUCCAUUGCAAAGACAUUGCAGUAUCACAGAUAGUACAUAACCAAAGUAGCAUUUGAGAGUAAAACAGCGGAAGCAUUACAUAACUUAAUUUACAAAAGAACUUCAUCAAAGUAGGACUUAGAUAAGGUGUUAUUACAAGCCAUGUUUAAUGGAGCAACCUUAACCAUAUUACAGAGAUUACAAUUUACAGACCCAGCCCGCGGGUCACUUUCAUUCCUCAUCGUCGUCAACCUCGACGACGGUCAUGCAACAGGUUCUGAACCAAGUUGGCUCCUGAGCCUCACCUGCAACAGGGGUUAUAAAACCCUGAGUACUGGAGUAUUCAACAAGAGUUACCCGACAGAAAAAGAGGAGAAUUUAGGAAUGUCGUCUUAGGGUAGACAAGGAGUGGUUGAGCAAGGAGCCAAGUUGUUUUGCAUAAAAGCUUACUAAUAGUGAAUCCUUACUUUCAAGUUUUAGCCUCAAAUCGGUCACCUCAAGAGGCCGAGGAAUUCGAGGACAGUCUAUCUAGUUGCUUUACACAGACAAGUCUGUAAAUCCCUAGUCCUUAACAAAAGUGUUAUUCAUCCGACGGCCAUAGCUUCAUGUCACUCUAAGUCCGGCAAUUAGGAUCCGAACUCCACGAGACAUUUUCUUUUCCCCAUUUCAUAACUUAGUUGCAUAUUUAACUACAAUGAUGGUCAAAGGAAUUGAGUCUCCCAAUUAGGGAGCAACGAUGAUUCAAACCGCUUAGCAACCCAUCUGGAGUUCCUAACCACUCGACAUAUGUAGAACCAAAUCUUGCAUAUGUCAACCCAAAUCUAGCUUUACCAAGAUCUGACCGGGUUCACGGCACCCGAGAGCACAGUACUCUACCGUCCAGCACAUUUGCUAGGAGGUUACACGCUAUUCUCGCCAUCGCUCCACGCCUAGUGCGCGAGUAGCCGCUCUCGUCGAGGAAUCACAAGACCAGGCUUACCGAGGGCAAGUGGCUAGUACUAUAAAUUCUCAACCCACUAGACCAUCAAUGGACCGGUCCUUAAUCGACAUAGUUGGAGACACUACUUUAAGACUCCAUUAUUAAAGCAAGUCCACCGACCAGUCUCAAGUUAAAACUUCAUUCAAUAAAAGUAUUCCACAACAACCCUUCAAACUUACUUAUUUGAAAACCUAUCUAAUAAGCAGGGCUAAGCAUCACUACGCAGUUUUAAAAUAAAAUAGGUGCCAAAGACAGGGUAACAAUUAUCAAGGUAGUAAAUGCAAUCAAUAGGUUAAACCCAAUUCUUGACUACGUAAUGCAGCAUUUUUAGUUCAUAAGUGGUAAAAGAUCUAAAACAUUCAAGGAAGGGUUAAUGCAUCCGGGGCUUGCCUUGGUUGCAGAGCUGAGUGGGUUCCUUGGAGACUUCCCAAGUCUUGGCUCCAACUUCCUCGAACGGAACACCAACCUCAGGGUUCGGUUCAACGGUCGCUCCUUCGGCCACGUGCACUAUACGUAAAAUGAUGUAUGCUAUGAUAUGCUUAUGACAACAUAUAAGAAGGAUUUAGUUGAGUACAACUUUCCUUCUCGGUGCCAAAGCAGGUUAAAACAAUAAUUAAAGAGCGUUUACCACUUUAGUGUUUUUACCCAAGAGGUUGCAACAGUAAACUAAGAUAAUCCAUAAUUAUUCUUAAUUAACUAAUUAUUAAUUCCUUUUUUCCUUAAUUAAUCUUUAAUUAAGCAUCAAUGACAGUAAUUAAGCAUUAAUACCAAACAAUAGUUAAAUGCCAAAGGUCAUUAAGGUUAAUGACCCCUAGUCAUCACACAAUCCCAAAAUCACUUAGAACCUAUUUUGGAAAUUAAGCUAAUUAUUAUCUGAUUAUUUUAGGAUUUUUACUUAAUUACUAAUUAUGGGUAUAUUAAUAUUUUAUUCAAACAAUAUCCAAAUACCACCAAACUUUUUGUCAAGCCAGGAAAUAUCACUCAGAGACAUCUCACAAAUUUUGGUGAUUUUUGGACAUAUAAAUAAAUCCCUAAAAAUCAUGGAAGUUCUAUUUAUUAAAUAAAGGACACAAUUUUUAUACAUGUGCAAACUAUCAGAAAAUGAAACCUAAUAUUUUUCUUACGUUCUACUCACGGCAUAGAACCUAUACAAACAUUUUCACUAUUUUUGGAUCUGCACAAAUUUUUCUACACAAAAAUAAACAUAAAUCACUUUUGGUAUAAAAAGAAAUAGGAAAACAACACUGUUGCUGUUGCCGGCCCGCUCGCUAACAGCCCAGGUCGGCCCACACACGCGUUGACUCCCUCCUAUCUCUGCUGGUCGCUGACGGGCGGGCCCCGUUCGUCAACUCUGUCUCCCUCCUCCCGCCACCGGCUCGGUCACCCAGAGGAGCACCGCCGGUAGGUCCUAGCCCACGUUGAGAUGCGCAGCGGCACCCCCUCGACCUCACGCCUCUAUUGCUACCACCCACGGAUGCUCUACCCUUCUCUCCCUACCUCAGCCACACGAAUGGCGGACGGCCGUACCGGUCGCCCAUAGACUGGCCGCGAGGGCUCGGUAGAGCGCAAACUAACACGUUAGGGAGCUUCCAGGGAGGGUGGGGAGUGUGGUGCUCACAUCGUAGGGUUCGGAGAGGUGGCCUAAGGCGCUGGCGGCGGUAGCGGGUCUUCCGAGCUGGCACUCUGGGCUCGACGAGGUUGUUCCGGUGAACCUGCUCGUGUCCAAAGAAGAAAGGCAAGCGCAUAAGCUUCUGGGUGACGAGGGAAAAUGGAAACACCCACCAACAGGGUGUGUUACCUUCCAGAACGGCUUGGCCAAGGAGAGGGCUCACGGUGGUGGUUCCGGCCGGAGUUGGGGAAGAGAGACGGCGUUCGGGCGGAUGGGUGUGGUAGAGAGCGUUCCGGGGAGUGCGCUGGGUUCACAAGGAGAUGGAGAAGGUGUCGGAGAACUCGAAUUGGCCAGAGAGGUUGUGUGUAGGGUGUAUUGGACGGUGGAGCUUUGUUGGGAGCUUCGGUCGCAGAGACAAGGGAGCUCGAGGUCGGCCGCGCGGUGUGCUCAAAAGGAUGAGGUGAAGAAGCCCCGGGCGUCCACAUCGCGAGUUGACACGGACAGCAAGCAGCUGCGUGGCGGCAGGGCACGCACGCGGCUCGGUACCGCUCCCGCGGCCGCGCGGCAGAGGCGCCCGUGAUCCUCAUCGGAACACUGUAGACGAACCUAUCCCCCCUUUCUGUCUUCUUGCGAAAAUACUCCAAAAUAUUGAAUAGAACUCAAAAUUUGGUCAAAAUAAAGUUUGUUCAAAAGUUUAUACUCUACAAAACUCAUUUAAGGACCCAGAGCCAAUUUCGAGUGGAAAGGAAUGAAUUUGAGUGAAAUAGUUUGAAAUUCAAAUACCAAAUUGGGGGAAAUUCCAAUUUGAAUUUGGUCAGAACAGAAAUUCCAAAAUUACUUUUGAUUUUCCUCAAUAACUUGAAAAAUUCCCAAAAUAAAAGUUGUUCAUUUUGAUGAGCUCAACAACUUUCAUUUUGAUCACUUUUCAAGAUUCCAAAUAGAUUUUGAAUUAGGGAUUCAAAUUGAAAAGGGGGCAAUUUUUGGAAAUCUGUGUUUUUAAAAUUACUUUGAAAUUUGGAUUGAAACUUCAAAAACUCAAAACACCAAAGUUGUACAUCUUUACAAGAUCUACAACUUUGCUUUUGAACUCAUCCCUAAAUUUUGCUUAGUUUUUAAGUUACACAAAAGGGGGUAAAAAUUAGGGUUUUUCCUUAGUUAAUCCUUACAACCCUCCUUAACUAGGGAUUACACAAUCAACACAAGCAUCACUCCACAAGAUAAACACACUUUAAUCCCCUAAGCACAAUCAACCAAAAUAAACUUAUUUUAAGUCGAUGCAUUAUGAUGUGCUUCACAACUAUGCUUUGCAAUGCUGAUGAUGACAUGAUCCAUUUUUAGUGUCCGUAACAUCAGGGAUGUUAUAGCCCUUCCCCCUUAAAGAAAUCUCGUCCCCGAGAUUUAAAGCUUUAUGGUAAGUAAUGGAAAAGGAAAUGUGUCAAGCUAAUUUAUCAUUAGCUUCUUCACAAGACAGGAGGUUUAGGGACGAACAUCUCAUUAUAAACAUACACGUACAUUAGGUACAUGCCUUUGGUUACACCUUUACACACUUUAAAGCACACUUCUUUUUAAUAGCCACUAUUUUAAAAAGAAGCGUAAAACUCAGGAAAGUUCUCCAUAAGAUAGUCUUCGAAUUCCCACGUGGCUUCUUCCUUAGAAUGUUGACUCCAUUGUACCUUGUACCACUUGGUAGUUGUUUCGGGUAACUCUAUCUUUUUGGUCCAGUACUCGGAUGGGAUACUCUGCAUAAGUCAGAUCAGGUUCAAGUUCCACACCUUCAAAAUAUUGGACCCGGUCCAGUACUUGAAGACACUUCUUCAAUUGGGAUACAUUGAACACAUUGUGUACCCCGGAUUACCAUUCGGGCAAUUUCAGGUGGUAAGCGACCUGUCCACAUCGGUCGAUGAUUAAGAAUGGACCAAUGUAGCGAGGUUCUAACUUGCCUUUAACCACGAAAUGAUUCACUCCUUUCAUCGGGGAUACUUUUAAAUACACAUGGUCACCCUUAGCAAAUCUUAGGGGUCGACGUCUUCUAUCAGCAUAGCUCUUUUGUCGGUAUUGAGCAACUCUCAAGUUAUUUUGAAUUUGUUUGACUUUGUCUUCGGUUCCCUUCACCAAGUUAACCCCAAAGAACCAUCUUUCACUGGGUUCAAACCAGUGAUCUUCUAAUGUUUGAUUAACCCAUUCAGUUUGCCCACCUGUCUUAGGAUGAUAAACUGAACUGUAUAGAAGCUUGGUGCCCAAGGAUUUGUGUAAACAUUUCCAAAAUUGGGAGACAAACUGAGUUCCACUAUUAGACACUAUCGUUUUUGGCACCCCAUGCAAACUUAAUAUACGGUCAAAAUAGAUUUUAGCAUAGGUGACCGUAGUAUAUAUUGUUUUCACGGGUAAGAAAUGUGCAGUCUUGGUGAGACGAUCCACAAUAACCUAGAUAUAAUCAAAACCGUCGUCUUGGGCAAUCCCACUAUGAAAUCCUUGCUAAUAUCAUCCUAUUUCCAUGCUAGAAUAGGCAAGGGCUGCAACUCCCCAGUGGAUCUGAGAUGAGUGGCUUUAACUUUUCGACAAGUGUCACACUGGGCUACAUAGCGGGCUAUUUCUAUUUUCAUCUUCGUCCACCAAAACCUCUGCUUCAGGUCCUAAUACAUCUUAUUGCUUCCUGGGUGAAUAGAAUACCUUAUGUUAUGGGCUUCAUCCAGGAUUUGUUGACAUAGCUCAGGUACCUCUGGAACUACUAAGCGAUUUUUAAACCAGACCACUCCUGCAUCAUCCACCUGAAAGUCUGUGGGUGCUCUAUCAACAAUUUUCUCCUUGAGGUAUUCAUGCCCUUAUCUUCUUUUUGUGCCGUUAUGAUCUGAACUUCGAGAUUGGAGUCAAUCUUUAAAUUUGCUAGACUUCCUUGUGGAAUCAUCUCCAUUCCCAAGUUCUCAAGCUCUUGGCACAAAGUUAUAUCUCCAGGCAUCACUGUCAAGCAAUUACAGUGAGCCUUACGACUGAGGGCAUCUGCUACUACAUUUGCUUUGCCUAGAUGAUAAUGAACCUCAAUAUCGUAGUCCUUGAUUAAUUCUAGCCACCUUCACUGGCGCAUAUUAAGUUCGGCUUGAGUAAAAUUAUACUUCAAGCUCUUAUGAUCUGUAUACAGAUGACAAGUGUUUCCCAGUAGGUAGUGGCGCCAGAUCUUCAAGGCAUGUACUACGGCGGCUAGCUCAAGGCCAUGGGUCAGGUAAUUCUCUUUGUGUGGCUUAAGCUGCCUAUUUGCAUAGGCAAUCACUCGACCCUCCUGCAUCAGCACACAGCCCAUCCCUAUUCCUAAUGCGUCACAAUAUACAUCAAAGGGCUUCUCAAUAUUUGGCUACACUAACACAGGUGCAGUAGUCAACAACCUUUUCAAGGUUUCAAAGGCCUGCUCACAUUCAGACGACCAAACAAAUUUUGUUUGAUUCUUGAGCAAGGUUGGUGAGGUCGUUGUCUCGAUCUUCAUGAUGUAGGAUAACUAACUGAAGAUCAGCCAAUAACUUGCUGCAAGCAGCGAGGAUAACUAGUGCAACCUGACGACACGCACAAUGAGCCAACCACUGUCUCUAUACGGCAGCCUAAACCAAGGAUUCGCCCAACCACACUCUCAAAGAACCAACCUAUGCAACCUGAACUCGAGGAUCAGGAGCACGGAUUGGGUGCCGAUGACGCGGCCGCUUCUGUAAUCUCCGUGAAGGAAAACACAAGAGCAAAGGGGUAGAGAUCUCUCUCUGAAUUUGUUAGCACACAGCUGAACAAAGUGCUUUGUAUUCUCAAUAUCAUAAGUCUUAGAUUACAAUAAGUCUUAGGAGGUAUUUAUACUAGCAACAGCCCUGCUAGAUAGGUAUGAAAACGAAACAGAGUAUCUGAGGGAAGGCAAUGCGAAAGGUCUCCUCGAAAUGGAUUCCCGAAGUGGCUUCGCGUGACUGUUGGCCUCCAGAGCAGUUUCUAGUAAACUGACCAUAAAUUUUUAUUGGGAAGUCCAAAUGACGUGCGGUUUGUUGCAACAGAAAGCUAACUUGAUAAGCUUUCACUCCAUGUGCAGCAUGUACCACGAAUCCUGGUAGAUUGGUACAGUUUUGCACGGCAACUUGAACUUCAUGCAGACUGAUGACUCGAUGACCAGUGUCAACUAAAACAGGUUGGCAGCUUUACUGGCAUUACCAAACAGGUCGGCACCAGAGGCAUUAGAAAGUAGACUCAAAGAGCUUUCCAACACGUGCUCAUCGGCCUUCAUAGCAUCUUGGAAGUGAAAGUUAUGAUCUUUUCAUUCAACUGGUCCGUUCUGCACCGCACUGGUCCGAUCUGCCCUUCUUUCAACUGGUCCGUUCUGCACCGUGUUGUUCCAAUCCUUGCGGUCCAGGUCACCUCCCUCCUCAUGUGUAUACCUAAGCACAACCAAAGUAGAACACUUAGGUAGUAUAAUAUUCUCAUUAACAUUAAUAGAACUCUCACAAAGUAGCGUGUUCACCUCUUGUUGUAGUUUCUUGGCUCGGCUACGUGUAAUUGCUCCAUCAAUGGCUUGGGCUGGUGCCGGCGUAGUCGGUGUAGAGGUUGGCGUGGAAUUAGAGGGAGCAUGCUUGGUUGGGAUGUCCUCAUCAAAGGUUGUGAUUGGCUUGGAUACACUUGAAAAAGUCAGGAAUGAAGCGGCGGUAAUAUCCCGCCAUACCCAAAAAGCUACGGACCUCAUGCACCGUGGUAGGGGCUUCCAACUCAAGACAUCUUCUACUUUGCCUGGGUCUACAGCGACUCCCUCCACUGAUAAUACAUGACCCAGGAAAUGAACUUUGUCCAGCCAUAACUCACACUUUCUAAACUUGGCAUAUAGUUGAUGGUCUCUCAGACGGGUCAACACAAUCCUCAAAUGUUCAGCGUGUUCUUUCUUUGUUUUAGAAUAGAUCAAGAUGUCAUCAAUGAAGACGACUACAAAUUUGUCCAAUUCUGGCAUGAAGACGGAGUUCAUCAAGUACAUGAAGUGAGCUGGUGCAUUGGUCCAACCAAAUGACAUCACCAGAUAUUCAUACAGCCCGUAGCGGUUUGUGAAAGCCGUCUUGGGAACAUCUUCCGGCUUAAUCUUGAUUUGAUGGUACCCAGAUCUCAAAUCCAUUUUUGAGAAUACUUUAGCCCUGGCUAACUGAUCAAAUAGCAGGUCAAUGCGAGGCAAUGGGUACUUUUUUUAAUCGUCACUUCAUUUAAGGGACGAUAAUCAACACAUGGCCUUAAUUUCUAAUCUUUCUUUUUCACAAAUAAAGCUAGGCAACCCCAUGGAGAUGAACUGGGUUGAAUGAAACCCUUCUCCAACAAUUCUUGUAAUUGGGUAUUUAAUUAAGCCAGUUCCUUUGGUGCCAUUCGAUAGGCUCUUUGAGAAAUUGGGGCUGUCCCUGGUUUCAAUUCUAUAGUGAAUAGAACAUCCCGGUCUGGUGGCAGACCUGGUAGGUCCUCGGGAAACACAUCCGGGAAUUCCCGAACUACCGGGAUAUUUCCAACUCCUUUCACUGUGGCGGCAUGAACUUGUUCAAUUGCCCAUUUUGGAGUGGCUAGUUGGAUUAAGACGUGAGAGUUAUUAUCGGGCAAUUGCAUCUUGAUAGUUCUAUGCAGGAUGUCUAGCACAACCCCUCGUUGUGCCAUCUAGUUCAUACCUAAUAUAACAUCAAUAUCUUGAUCCUUAAGAACAAUCAUGUUGGCGGGAAAAUUAUGCCCACAAAUUUUGAUGGGUAUCUGAUAGACCAUUUCCUUAGAACUUAGUCGUCCUCCUGAUGACUAUAUAUAGAAAUGAUCUAUAGUUUCUCCGAUGGGUUUGUCAUGCUUUACCACAAAGGUGCGAUUGAUGAAGGUGUGAGAUGCACCUGAAUCAAAGAGCAUUAAAGCAGGAUGAUUAGCAACAAAACAUACCCAUCAUCAUCGGCUCGCCUUCUGGUAUGGUUUCAACCUCCAUGUGAAAAACUUGUCCAACUUUUUUCGCUGGUUUCCCCUCUAUGCAUUUUGACCUUUUUGAGCCACAUUCUUAAACUGGCUCUGUUGAGGAUGGCCGGCAGGCGGCCUUUGGAUAUUGGGGUUAUACUGUUUAGGGUAGGGGCAUUCCUUGGAGAAAUGUUCGGGUUUACCACAAUUAUAACAAGGAUAAUUGUGGUUCUGUGGAGUGGAAGGAUGAACGCCUGGGGCAUUUGGCUGGCGUGGUGCUGCAGCGAUGGCAGUAGGCCAAGGAUAAACGUGCUGCCCAGGUCGGUACUAGGGAGAAGGAAAAGAACCAUGAAAAGGUGGCGGUGCUGGGAAGCGCCUGUGGCUCUAAGGGUGAUAAAUAAUUCUCUGGUGCUUUUGGCCUCGACUAGAGAAAGAGGAAGAUGUAGCCUUCUUCUUUGCUUCCUUAUGUUUCUUAUUUUUCUCUUCUGAGGCGAUAGCAAUAUUGACCGCCUCAUGAAAGGUGGCACUCUAACAUGUAGUCAUCAUUGUUUGCAGCUUAGUAUUUAGGCCACGCAUGAAGUAGGCCUUCUUCUUCCGGUCAGUGUCCACAUGCUCAGUGGCAUACUCAGAAAGAUGACUAAAUUUAGCCACAUACUCCAUCAAACUCUUAUUGCCUUGUCGCAAGGCGAGAAACUCUUCUGCUUUCAUUGCCAUUAGUGCCUCUGGAAUGUAGUGGGCGCGAAAAGCGUCCUUAAACUCUGUCCAGGUGACCUCAUGUCCAUUAUUCUGGAUGGCAAGAAAGUUUUCCCCAUGCCCCUGCAGCUCCCUGAAUCUGCUGGGCGGCGAAGAGGGGUUUCUGAUUUCUGAGCAACGGAUCAGACUAAAUUUGUGCUCCAUAGUUUGGAGCCAGUCAUCAGCCUCAAAAGGUUCAUCUGCCUUUGUGAACACUUGGGGCCUGGUCUCAGUGAAAUCUACAUAAAGGGUCUCGCCCUUCGGGUUAUUCUGAGCUCAGAAAUUUGGGGGAUGAUGGGGUUGUCGCUGCACCAAAUCGCGCAAAAGACGAGCAUUAUCAGUGGUGGCACUGAGAAGAACUGCAAUAGCAUCAACCAGGGAAGGUGGAGCAGGUGGAGGGUUGGGGAUAUCCUCCCCUCCCUGGGAAGUUCUAGCUCCAUCAGAUCCGCGGGUACGCAUCGGCAUCUGCUACAAUAGUUACAUUUACUUAUUACCUCUACAAGUCCACAACUCAUAAAUAUAUUUUACAUAACUCCACUUAUUUAUCAUACAACUCACAUCAAACAGUUCAACAUACUUAAAACAAACAAUUACAACUUUUUCAAACUUAAAACACACUUUACUGCUAACCCGACCCAACUAAGGUAGUCUAGAAAGAUCUACAACGAUGCCGCUCGCAACUCCACCGAACUAGUCGGUGUUGUCGGAACCAUAGCCCGGGUCGUCGUCGUUGUCGCCGUGGUCGUCCCCGGGUUGUCGUCACAGAGUCGGGUUCCUCCUCAUUGCUGGGGUUUUGAUCAGGCUCUCCCCCAUCUGCUAGCUCUCCAUCAGUAUCCAUCUCCCCUUCCCCUGGUGGUGGAUGAAGUUGAUGAUACAAAUCGAAUGCAAUAUCCCGGUAUUGCAUUGCCAUAUCAUUGACUAUGGCCAUAUGGUGUGCCAACUCAAGUUUCUCAAGUUGCAACUGAUCUUCCCGUAGCCACGCGACAUCCCUCUGAGCGGUGACGGGGGCUGUCAUCUUCUUGUAUAAAUUCUCUGUGUACUUUCUUUUAGAUAGCUUGGCCUUCAUGCGGGUCAGCUCGUGCACAUGCGUACUCUUGGCCUCUUCCUCUCGGGCAACGGCUGCGUUAUGCUCCUCCACCAUGCGGGUCAACAUUGCCUCACAGUUCUCCGUGGCUUGCUUUUGAUUUGCCAAUUGGGUUUUGAGCUUGCCAAUUUCCAUAACAUUGAACAUUCUUUCUCUAAUCACUUCAAUUAACUCUGCUUAUAACCUCUCUAUCUCCUGCUGAGGUUGGGAGUGACUGCUACUGGCUUGUUCAUUCCUCGAGGCCAGUUGAUGACGGGGCACUCCUUUGGGACCUACCCUCUUGCGAGGGGUUUGCUUCAGACGGCCCAUCCUAUAGAGGGCGAGUUUAGAUUUAGUAAAGUAGACCUUAAAGGUUAGCAAGAAUGGGAAUGAUCCUAUACAACUCGACCCAAAUAAAGAGGAAGGUAAUUAGCCAAGUGAUAUGUCAUGAUGCAUGCACGUACUUACGAUUUGUAAUAGAAGUCCACAGUUAGGAUCAAUUACAAUUUUACAACAUAGGGCUAUACUUUAUGCUGCUCCUUCACAUGGUCUUAAAAACUUUAAUAAAGCCUACAGACAAGGGUAAGGUAAAGCUCAAGCACUUGGACUCAAAAUAGGCAAGUUUAGAAUAUUGGAUCCAAAUAAAUUUGAAGUUUUUCAAAGGAUACAAUAGUCAUCUUAGCAAUGAAUGCUCUGAUACCAGCUGUGGCAGAACCUCCUAAGUAGCUGGGCCCAUCAACACAUGUCAUUGUCCCAAAGACCUCUGACGGUGAUACCGGGGAUCCAUCUACUCUAGAUGCCCGAUGAGCAUCCCAAGACGCCCGUUCCACUGCUACCUGUGGCGUAAUAACAUGACUUGUCUUGACCACCAGCAAUGAUCAAUUAAUAAGAACUUCUUCUUCUCGCCCUUACAAGAUAGCAAGUGACCACAUUAACACCAGGAUCAUCCAUUGCAAAGACAUUGCAGUAUCACAGACAGUACAUAACAGGUUAGAACGAGAGUACGGUUGUAGUCUUCUCUAUACAUCACUCACAUCGAAUCACAUUGUUUGUAGCCUAAAGGGUAGUAGCAAUAGAUUUUGUUAGUCAGAUGCACACUUUCUCCCAGUGGUAAAAAUAUAAAUACGAUACUCUGGAUAACCCCCCGGGUGAAGUGCUCACCGAUAUCCGUGCGCUUGCGGAUAAUUUCCUGAUGGCGUUAACAAAUAUCGACAAGCAUUUCUGGCGCCGUUGCCGAGGAGAAAGACGGUUUGCUGAGAUAACUUUGAGUCUUGCUAUUAUCUUGUAUUAUACUUUUAUACUUUUAUUCUUUUAUCUUUUUAUUUUUUUUCCAUAUUUAUGGAUAACUCAAAUUCCACACCUAUUAUUGAAUUUUUUGCACCUUCGGAGACCAGCCAUAAACCAUGGGAGUCAACAAGUCCUUUCUUUGCCCCUAAUUAUGAUCUAUGUCCGGAGUUGAUUGCAAUAGGUCAAAACCAACCCAUUUCUAUAGCCGAGGUCCUAUCUUUUAAUAAAGAAGAUAAUGAACUUUUAGCUACACCUAGGGAAUCUUUUAAUCUCUCAAAAAAUUCUAGUUUAGACCUAGCCCUUCAAGACCAUGUUUUUCCUCGAUAUUUUCACAUUGGUCUUAAUCAUAUAACCUUUGGUAGAGUUUUUCUUUCUUUAUCUGUUAGUAAAUCAAGGUAUGUCUUCAUUCAUGGACAUCCUUCUUGCACUAGACUUUAUAAAAAAAUCCUAGAGAUAGAGAAGUAAUCAUCUCCCAGACGAGGAAAGGAAGUUUCAAUAGCCAAUUUCCAAACAUUUCAAUCCCAUGAUUCGGCUAUCCAACCUAAACUAGUAGUGCUCCAAAAUCAUCUAAGGGAAGAAGAAAUUCUACCUUUGGAAAUUAAUUUUGGGAUGAGCUUAAACUUCCUGCUUCAUAAGAGUCCUUUGGGUGCAUAUAGUCUGAACCUUCCUAAGAAGGGAUCUCUUAGAAAGCAUCUCAAAUCCAAUCCCUUUGAAGGACAUCAAGAAAGACUCAAGGAUGGCAUCUUAAGUGAUGCAAUAGAAGGAGAGCGAAGCCAUUUAGAAGACAAUCUCACCUUAUCCCCUUCUACGCCCACUUUUGAUGACUCAUUCGAACCUAUCUUUAAACCCAUCCUUGAGCCUAAUAAUUUCUACUAUGCUCUUUCUCCUGAACCUCCCGAUGAUCCUAUGAAUCUCUCUAGACAUCCCAUGCAUAAGAGUCACCAAGACCACAAGGAGGAUCGAGAAGAGCAACAUCAAUGGCUAGAGGGCAUUAAAAAUCCAUGUGGUAUCACCAUAGAAUGGAUGGAUAAAACAAACUUGAGAGACAAUCCUAGAGGAAUUUUAAGCAUUCAUGAAGAAUCAUCCUUGGAGUUUGAGAAUGAGAGAAACAACAGUGAGCAUAGAAGUUAUUUCAUAAAUACCUCACCAAGUCCUUGCUCAUAUAAAACAUCUCCCCAAUCAAUUGGUCACUCCAACCUUACCACAUUUGAGAUCUCCAACCCCCUCUUCCUUUUUAUUUAUAAAAACUUUAAAGGGGUGGUUAUCAAUGCAUAUGUCUAUAAUAAAUAUUGCAGAUAUCAUUGAGUCAGUCUUGAUAUAGGCACGCUUAGUGUUGGGUAAUUUAAACGCAAACAGAAAAAUCCGCAAGAGCAUGGAUACCGAUGUAGCUUUCACCCGGGAGUAUUCCAGAGUAUCGGUUUUCCACAGGGAACGUGAGUGUACUAAUUAAGAUUCAAGAUCACCCAAGGAUAACUAUAUAAUUAUUUUUGGUGGAAAAGAGGAAGUUUCCUGAGAGUUCUCUAGUUGAUCUAAGAAUCAAGAAUUACUUCAAAGAUUAUUUAUUUCGGGACAUCAGAACACUAACCACAGAAAGAGAUGAGAAGGAGGCUAGGAAGCUCUGACUACGGUCCUACAAACACCGAUCCGAAUGAGGUGAAAUACGUCGACCGUUAGGGCUGUCACUACCCUAGGGUUACCACAACAAUCUGUAGGAUUGGGUGCAAUUCCAGGUAAUUGCAAGACCAAACACCACGUCUAAUCUAUUAAUUACUACUCUAGCGUUGCAAAGACUAGAGCACUUGAAGCAAGCGGGAAUCUAAUAAAUAACUUGAAUGUAAAUAAAAGUAAUUAAAGAACUCAGGAAUUAUGAAUUGAAGAACUUGGAGAACGAUGAAGAACGAACCAGUUGCUGCAAAAGUACAAUGUUGAGGAAGAUCUGACAGAUCCGGCUCCUCCUCCGCUCUCCUCUUCUCUCUCCCUAUUUUCUAGAUUACAACUAGAACUAGAUGAACUAGAACUAGAACUAGAUGAACUAGAGGGAUCCUCUCUACUUGGAUGAAUAAUUGAAACCCUAGAUUUGAUUCUAGAAGAGAUAUGCCUCCAGGGGCUGGUGGGGGCUGUAUAUAUACUCCCUCCAAAUGAAUAUGGACCGUCGGAUCAAACCGACUUUAAUCGCACGGUUUUCCUUCAUCCUCUAGGUCGGUGGAGUAUUAUCCGCGAGAUGGAGCCUGAUUGGCUGAGGCAGUAGGGCCAGCGCCCAAGGGGGGAGGGCGGGCGCCCUGCCCCCAGGCCCGCUCGGCCUCCCGUUCGUUCCCGUGGCUUCUGCAGUCUUCUAGAUGAUAGAAAAUUGGCGUACACGUUAAUAUCUCUAUGUAAACCCGACGUGUGGGCCUUUCCUCCAUAUUUCCUGAUAACCCCCUGCAGAAAUAGACAAACACCAAAACUCAUGGAAUUCUGUCAAAUGAAACCCAAAUUUUGGAUGUUGGUUGCAUAUAGGUCCUUUUCCAUGAUUAGUUGACGGUUAAAUAUGAGCAUUAAGGACCGUCAACAAGCGCCCCCAAGCUUAACCUUUGUUUGUCUCUGAGCAAAGCUAAAAUCAGCAAGAAAACAAGGGUUACUUUUAUGCCUCUUACUAUAGGGUUUUUAAGUUAUCACUAAGGUCUUAAGUGAUUGAAAAACAGAACGAUCAAGUCAAGCACUAUGUCUCAAGUUCUUCUGUCUUACCUUUGUUCUGGAGUUUUUUUUGUAAGUUUCCAAAAUAAAACUAAGGCAUUUGCCUUCUUCUCGAAAGAUAUAUAAGUAGAGCUUUAAAAGUUUUAGCAUACUUACUUUGCAUUUUGCUAUGUCAAUGCUCGGAGCAAGGGAGAGGAAUAUCAUACUCCCAGAUCAAGACCUUUGACCUUUUUGAAAAGUUUGUCAUCUCUUACUGGUAUAUUGCUUAUUAGAUGGACCAUGGGCUAUCAUUUUUUUCUUUCUUUUUCAGUCUCUCUCUUUUUUUUUCCUUUUUUUCUAGUGGGCACCAAGUACCCCUAAUUCUACUAUCGGACACGUGUCCAUUUUUUCCACUCAGGUGGGUACCUUUGUACCCCUAAUUCUACUUCGGACACUUGUCCAUUUUUACCUCUCGUCUCACUCUUUUUUCGAAUUAAAUUUUUGCAUAGUCCCAUGCCUCUAACACAAUAAUACUUCAGAAGAGUGAAUCUUUCAUAUUUUUAAAACAAAAAGACAUUGAUCUUUGGAGCAUGAUAAUUCUCUCAACCAAAACUACAAGAAUUAACAAUGGCUUGAACAAAGCAAGUGCCCACAGUUUUAAUAUUUAUAUCUUAUAAGACUCUAGGUAUUAUGUCAAACAGGAUCUCAUUUUUUUAAAAUUUUUAGAUUUUCAAAAGAUAAAAUCUCCAGAACUCUAGCGAAACUUGGAACAAGUUAAAUAGUAGCUCAGACCUUCUCAUAUCAUGUUUGUCAAUUACCUAGACUUGGAUCAAACUUUCUUUUUAUUUUAUUUAAAACUUAGGAUUACACAAAACUAUUGUAUAUUACUCAAAAAAAACUUUGUUUGGUUUCAUGGUUAUGCAUUAUUUAUUUAUUUAUUUAUUUAUUUCCGAAUGCUAGUAAAUAAAACCAAGAAAGAAAAGUAAUACUUAUCUAGAUACACGUGGGGGUGCCUCCCCCAAGCUAGAUGUUGACAUAGUCAUUCACGCUUGUGGCCUGUGUUGAUAUUUGGUAACGCAAUUAGAAAAUGAUCCACAAGCGCACGGAUAUCGAUGAGCAUUUCACCCGGGAGGUUAUCCAGAGUUAUCGUAUUUAUAUUUUUACCACUGGGAGAAAGGGUGCAUCUGACUAACCAAAUCUAUUGCUACUACCCCUUUAGGCUACAAAGAAUGUCUCUCGAUGUGAGUGAUGUAUAGAGAAGACUGCAACCGUAGUCUCGUUCUAACCUUGGUAAGGAUGAUCUACUGUUCUAUUGGGGAGGCUCACGGAAUCUAGACAACACAAAGGAUGUUCGACCCGCACCUAUAAACCUACCCGUCCUGCUAACGAGAUGUGAUCUGCAAAGGUAACUCGGAAUUAUCACGUUCCUCGCUACUACCACGGUCCAGCUAGUAAGGGGAUAUCUAUGAGUACCCUAGCCUAAACACCACGUUUACGCUAACAAGUGAUUACUCUAAUACUCAACCGGAAGAGGAUUAAAGUAAACUCAUAAACCAAAGAACAAUAAAACAAGAACUUACUAGUAUUAGAAGUCGAAUUACUGAAGAAUCUUAGAAGCAAGCCUCGGGUUAGGAGACUUGAUCCCGUAGGUACAACUCGGAGUAGACACCGACAGGCCGGCCUUCCUCCGAUCCACACCUCCACUCUAUCUCUCUCAAUCUAGUAGAAACUAGAAGAUCUAUUUCUACUUUACAUUGGUUGCUAAGCCUAAAAAGAAAUAUUAUUUAGAGAAGAGGUUUUCCUUCGAGGGCACCCCUCAAUCUCUAUGAUAAUUUCUUCUCUCUUCCAGGGGCCAGGGGGCCUUGCUUAUAUAGUCCUCCCCUUCUAUGCGUUUUUGGGUCGAUAGGCGAGGUGGUACUAUGUUUUUCUUGAUCCAAUAGGUCGGUGGAAUAUCCCGAGCGAAAGAGUCCUGAUUUGGCUCCAACAGGGGGGCGGGCGCCCAGGCUACCAGGGCGGGCGCCCUGGGCCUGGCCCCUUUCGGGCUCCGCUUCCUUCCUGUGGCUUCUGGAGUCUUCUAGAUGGUAGAAAAUUGCGCGGUGGGUUGAUAUCUCUAUGUAAUCCCGACAUGUGGGCCUUUCUUCCUUAUUUCAUGAUAACCCCCUGCGGAAAUAGACAAACACCAAAACUCGUGGAAUUCUGUCAGAUAAAACCCUAAGUCUAGAUGUUGAUUUCAUUUGGAUCCUUUUCUUUGUUUGUUUGAUAAUUAAAUUUGAUACUUAAGGACCGUCAACAAACUCCCCCAAGCUUACCUCUUGCUCGUCCCUGAGCAAGGAUGAACUCAAGAGUUUCUGCAGUGGUUUCAUUUCUUAGAAGUACACACGCAUUUAAGCAAGAUCUCAUCUCUGAGUUAGAAUAAACUGUUAAGACUUAAAACUUACUUACUUUACCUACACCAUAGGACUUGUAACCGUCACUUCUGUCUUGAGUGGUUAAAAGAUAGAACAGUCUAGCCAAGUGCCAUGUCUCUUAUUCUUGAUCAGCUAUAGCUCUGGGGUUUUUGCAGAUUUUCAAAUAAAACUCAGAGAUUCCUUAUAUGACUCUCUCAGAUCUCUCUUUUGUGGUAUUUUUGGAUCCUUACCAAGGCAGUGAUGGUAUAUGCCUUCUCUCAAAAUAUGUAGUAUUUGUGGUAUGAAGCAUAGUGUCAUUGUCUUCUCUCUCACCCUACUCUAAUAAGGCUUUAAUAUCUGGAGCUCAUAGGUGGGAGAUAAAGUAUACAUACUUACAAGACAUUUAUUGCAUAGUCAAACCAUGGAUCCAAAGUAACAAAUCAAUAAGCCAAAUCAAGAUGUGCAUGUGUGGCGAAUGAAUGGUGUAUGGUGAUGAUGGUGAUAACAAUGGUGAAAACAAUGGAGGUGGAAGUCUAAUUCUACUUUGCUCUUUGAGGGGAUACAUACCUUCCUUGCUUUUUGAAACUUUAUGAGGAGAAUGAGAUGCUCAUCUUUUUCUUUUCUCUCAGGUGGGUAUCUUGUACCCCUAAUUUCUAAUGUCGGACACUUGUCCAUUUUUACCUCUCGUCUCACUUUUUCUUUUCUUUCGAGGUUCCAAGCACUUGCUCCUUUUUAUUUCCUCGUAUCUCUUUUUUUUCUCUUCUUUUUUUUUCAGAGCAUUCAUCUCUUGAGAUAAUAUAGCAAGUGGUAGUAACAAGAUAACUUGAGCAUUUAUUUCACAAGGGGAAACAGAAAUAUUUUUGGUUAUUCUCUCCCGGAUUAGGAGUAGAAUACUUUUGGGUGGUUUUGGAGAUGGAAAUGAGUGGAUAUAUGUGGAUGGUACUUCCGGAGUAGAAGUAGCAUGUAUGAGUGAACGUGCAAGUGAAUCUUGAUUUAACCACAUGACAAGCUCCUAAGGGUCUACACAGCUUGACCACACUCAAUGCUCAUAAGCAGUAAAAAGUAAAUGUGUGGCUCAAAGUCUAGCAAGCAUGUAUAUAUGGCUGUGGUAGGAUUUUAAACUCUCAUCAUACAGGAACUCAUCAUGUGAUAUUUUAAAGAUUUUCAAAGAUAAAAUUCUCCAGAAUUCUAGCAUCUCUAGGAACAGAUAAACAGCAGCUCAACCUUCCCAUAUCGUAUCCGUUAACAACUUAGACUUCAGAUCAAGUUUUCAUCCCACAAGUUUAGGUCUAGAGCAAGCCUUAAAUUAUAACAGUUAUAUCUAAACUUGAGAGAGAACUUUAAAUUUGCAAAUUAGGCAGAGCAACUAUUCAUCAUAUCCAUGCUUAAGUUUUAUUAGAUAUAGAUUAGCAUAGCCACUUUAUUUAUUUAUUAAACACACUAAGCAAAAUAUAUAUAAGCAUAAAAUCUUUAUUUGGUUUUUCAUAGUUAUGUGUAUUUAUAUUCUAAUAUAGUAUAUGUAUAAAGAUAGAUAGAAAUACUUAUCGAGAUAAAUGGGGGUGCUCUCCCCCAAGCUGAAUUUUGACGUAAUUUCUCUUGAUGUAGCUAGCAGGUGGCAGAGGUGUGUUUGAAAGUCAGCAAUAUUUUGACAGCGAUUAGAAUGUCCUCCGUCUGCUAGUCUUCUUGAUUCUUAAAUUCUGUGGAGCUCAAAUAGACAACAAAGCUUGUGGAACUGAUUAAGUGUUAGCAUAAAUAUCUAGCCUUUAUUAUCUUGAGACUCCUUAAUAAUUAUUACUCCCUGUUUUUAUAUUUUUAUUUUUAUAAAGUAGAAAAAUAUUUAUUUUAUUUUUAUGCCACCACAGUGAAUGUACUUAUGGGUUUUAUGCCACUCGUCUACUCACAUGGGGCUUACAGUUUUUUUCACAUUUUUAUUUUCUUUCUAGGAUAAUACAAACAUGAUUAACUAAGUAAACUAUUUGAAAUAAUUAAAAGGGAAAGGAUAACUACCAAGUUUACCUCUUGGCAAGGCGUUCGGUGUUUUUAAGUCCUCCGAGCGGGACUCUCCAUUUUCUUAAUCGUCCUGGGAUUUGCUAGAUGACGUAGUCGGUGAUUCCGGUGGCGCCUCCUCUUCGUGUGUAACUAUAUCUCUCUCCAUACCUGACUCGGUGCUACGGUCUCCUCAGGACAGUUAUGUUCAAGUGGUAUGUCUUCAGUCCUUAUCACUUCUCCUUCGUAGUCUACCCAUCCGUCCUUGAUGAUUUGCCUCCUCUGGUUGCGGUUGCGAUGUCUUCUUCUUGUCCUGACCUGCUUAGAGUCUUCAACUAUAUAGUUAGUGUCAGUAAAACAGCGGCAUACCUUCUCAGAGGAGAAGUGUAUGUGGACUUCUCCGGUUCCAAUAUAGAUGAUGGCUCUGAUAGUGCUGAGGAACUGUCUUCCAAGGAUGGUGGGUGGAUCAUAUUCAUCUUCUCCCAUGUCAAUAACUUGAAAGUCAUCUAUAGCGGAAUGUAUAUUGGUUGUAGGGGCAUGGUUUCAUGCAGGAGCUGAUAAGUGACUACGGCCAUUAUGUUGACGUCAGAUCCGGUGUCGUAGAGUGUCUUCUGAAAAGAGUAUCUGUUGAUUGUGCACUCAAUGCUUAGAACACCAGGGUCGUCCUUCUUGAUCAAGAAAGGUGACUUGAGUCGACGAUCUUGACCUCCUUGAACUGCAGUGACCAUCUUAGCUGACUCGGUCCACAUUUGCUUGUUCCUGUUCCUCCUGUUGGUCCUCUUCCUUGGUUCAUGUCGGGGUGGCUCUGAAGUUUGUGUAGUCUUGUUCUUGAAGGAAAGUCUCCUUUUUUCCCUUGAUGUAGAGACUGAUCUUGGUAGCAUUAACGUAGAUGACAGCUCUAGUGUUUAGGAAUGGCCUCCCUAAGAUGAUGGGUGCCCUCUCCUCAGUACCAGUCUCUAUCACCACGAAGCCUGCUAGAGCGUACAAGGUACCAACUCGGACACAGAGGUUCUUCAAUAUUUUCUUUGGGAAACUGAGUGUCCGAUCUGCAACCCUGGGCAUAAUGUUGACGCUGGAGCCAAAGUUGCAGAGUGCUUCUGGGAAGUCCACCAUGCCGAUGGAGAUCGGGAUGACGGGGCGUCCUAGAUCACCUCUCUGAGUAAUUAGGCCUCUGUUGAUUCCAACCUUGAUGUUGUUGAGGACGGUUGUAGUAAUAGUUGUUAUUGUUGUUGAUGUAGUUCACGUCCUCAAGCAUCUUAGGGCAGUGAUUGCCUGAGCGUCCAGUAUCUCCAGUGUGUUUGUGAUCGUAGAUCCUAGUUCUUCACUUGGUGGAAUCUGGGAGUUGUAAAACUCCUUCAUAUUAUGCUCGAAGUGUUCCUGCUCAUAGAGACAAGGUAGAGAUCAAGUGCAUGGGCCCUGUUGGUGGAAAACACCAACAGAACCAAAAGUGUAUUUGUUCUUCUCUAACCUUAAGCAUAGUGAGCAAGACAAAGUUGAUGGAUCAUGAGUGUAGCAUUUGUCAGAUCAGAUGGCUCAACCUAAUGGAAAGAUAAUCUAUCUAUAUUUAUGUUUUGUUUAUAUCUUCCAAAGAUUGAAUGUGCAAUAUUUUAGUUUAUAUGAUUAGGAGUGUGGGAUCACGAAGGUAGUACUAAGAACAAAGAUUAAAGGACUAAACAUGUUGAAUUAAUUGAGUUGGUUAAUUUGGAGUUACAGAUCAUACAAGUUUGUCUCUUUAUUUUGUGUGAAUGCCAGAACCAAAGCGAAGCUUAUAAAAGCAAUAGUCAAGUACCUUAAGAUGUUACCUUACUUGAAGAGUGACGGUACAGUAUCACCUUGUGGAAGCUUUCCUUUCUUAGCGGUUGUGCAUCGUGUUUGUGGCAGCCUCCAUGGAUCAUCUCUUUAUGAUGAAUGAGCUAUGUUCUUCUUGUGCAAAUUGUUAAACUUCAUGUGUCUCCUUUAUCUCCAAUGAGUUUGUAUCUCAGGACUUCCCAGAUUGAUAUUGAAAGUUUUCCUGCAGGGGUUAGUCCAACAAAAUACCCCAUAUCUACUAUAGCAUACUAUCGGCUCAAAAAUCAACCUAGACACCAUGUCUAAUUUGAUUUAGGAGGGCAUUUUAACCUAAGCACCAUGCUUAAUUUAAAAAUCCUUUGGAAGUAAGAUCAUCAUUCCUAAACUAAGCACCAUGCUUGAUUUAAGAGAUAAAUGAAACUACUCCAAACCUAGACAUAUACUAAAGCAAAUAAAGGUAGCAUGAGAGCAUUUAUAGCGAUCUACUCAAGUGGAGGUGAAGUAGUGUAAUUAGUACUUAACAAAUUGAGCAUCUCUCAAAGGUAGGGACAACUAACGUAGCAACAUGGCAAAGGAUGUUUUUAUGUAAAGUACUCCCCCAAGCUUGAAUUUUGCAAAAUUCAAGAUUGGAUUUAAUUUAAUGUUGCAUGAUGAUUGGUUGGGCAUACCUUGCGCUUGUCAUUCAUCCGAUCUUCUUGCUCCAAUCCUAGAAAGGUUAGUGGCAAGAAUACCCGAAGGAAUAUUUCUACAAUUAUCUUUAUAUGCUCAAUACACAAGGCAAUGUUGCAAAUAAUUAGAAGUGCUUGUUUUAGGACACUAAGCUUGUCCUUGGGGAACCAUCAAUUAACUCAACGAGAUCUGCAAUAUUUAUUAUAGACAUAUGCAUCGACAACCGCUCUUUUAAUGUUUUUAUAAAUAGAAAAGAAGAGAGGGUUGGAGAUCUCAAAUGUGAUAAGGAUGGAGAGACUAAUUGAUUGGAGAGAUGUUUUAUAUGAGCAAGGACUGGGUAAGGUAUUUAUGAAAUAACUUCCAUGCUAACUGUUGUUUCUCUCAUUCUCAAACUCCAAGGAUGAUUCUUCAUGAAUGCUAAAAAUUCCUCUAGGAUUGUCUCUCAAGUUUGUUUUAUCUAUCCAUUCAAUGGUGAUAGCACAUGGAUUUUUAAAGCCCUCUAGCCAUUGAUGUUGCUCUUCUCGAUCCUCCUUAUGCAGGGGAUGUCUAGAGAAAUUCAUAGGAUUAUCGGGAGGUUUAAGAGAAAGAGCAUAGUAGAAUUUAUUAAGCUCAAGGAUGGGUUGGAUAGCCGAAUCAUGAGAUUGAAAUGUUUGGAAAUCAGCUAUUGAAACUUCCUCUCCUUGUAUGGGAGAUGAUUCCUUCUCUAUCUCUAAGAUUUUUCUAUGAAGACUAGUACAAGAAGGAUGUCCACAAAUGAAGACACACCUUCCUUUAGUAAUAGAUAAAGAAAGAAGGACUCUACCAAAGGUUAUAUGAUUAAGACCAAUGUGAAAAUAUUUAGGAAAAACAUGGUCUUGUAGGGCUAGGUCUAAACCAGAAUUUAUAGAAAGAUUAAAAGAUUCCCUAGGUGUAGCUAAAAGUGCAUUAUCUUCUUGAUUAAAAGAUAGGACCUCGGCUAUAGAAAAGGGUUGGUUUUGACCUAUUGCAAUCAACUCCGGACACAGAUCAUAAUUAGGGGCAGAACGUGUUGACUCCCAUUGUCUAUGGCUGGUCUCCGAAGGUCCAAAGAAUUUAAUAAUAGGUAUGGAAUUUGAGUUAUCCAUAAAGAUAAAAAUAAAAAGAUAAAAGAAUAAAAGUAUAAAAGUAUAAUACAAGAUAAUAGCAAGACUCAAAGUUAUCUCAGCAAACCGUCUUUCUCCCCGGCAACGGUGCCAGAAAUGCUUGUUGAUAUUUGGUAACGCAAUUAGAAAAUGAUCCGCAAGCGCACGGAUAUCGGUGAGCAUUUCACCCGGGAGGUUAUCCAGAGUUAUCGUAUUUAUAUUUUUACCACUGGGAGAAAGGGUGCAUCUGACUAACCAAAUCUAUUUCUACUACCCCUUUAGGCUACAAAGAAUGUCUCUCGAUGUGAGUGAUGUAUAGAGAAGACUGCAACCGUAGUCUUGUUCUAACCUUGGUAAGGAUGAUCUACUGUUCUAUUGGGGAGGCUCACGGAAUCAAGACAACACAAAGGAUGUUCGACCCGCACCUAUAAACCUACCCGUCCUGCUAACGAGAUGUGAUCUGCAAAGGUAACUCAGAAUUGUCACGUUCCUCGCUACUACCACGGUCCAGCUAGUCAGGGGAUAUCUAUGAGUACCCUAGCCUAAACACCACGUUUACGCUAACAAGUGAUUACUCUAAUACUCAACCGGAAGAGGAUUAAAGUAAACUCAUAAACCAAAGAACAAUAAAACAAGAACUUACUAGUAUUAGAAGUCGAAUUACUGAAGAAUCUUAGAAGCAAGCCUCGGGUUAGGAGACUUGAUCCCGUAGGUACAACUCGGAGUAGACACCGACAGGCCGGCCUUCCUCCGAUCCACACCUCCACUCUAUCUCUCUCAAUCUAGUAUAAACUAGAAGAUCUAUUUCUACUUUACAUUGGUUGCUAAGCCUAAAAAGAAAUAUUAUUUAGAGAAGAGGUUUUCCUUCGAGGGCACCCCUCAAUCUCUAUGAUAAUUUCUUCUCUCUUCCAGGGGCCAGGGGGCCUUGCUUAUAAAGUCCUCCCCUUCUAUGCGUUUUUGGGUCGAUAGGCGAGGUGGUACUAUGUUUUUCUUGAUCCAAUAGGUCGGUGGAAUAUCCCGAGCGAAAGAGUCCUGAUUUGGCUCCAACAGGGGGGCGGGCGCCCAGGCUACCAGGGCGGGCGCCCUGGGCCUGGCCCCUUUCGGGCUCCGCUUCCUUCCCGUGGCUUCUGGAGUCUUCUAGAUGGUAGAAAAUUGCGCGGUGGGUUGAUAUCUCUAUGUAAUCCUGACAUGUGGGCCUUUCUUCCUUAUUCCAUGAUAACCCCCUGCAGAAAUAGACAAACACCAAAACUCGUGGAAUUCUGUCAGAUAAAACCCUAAGUCUAGAUGUUGAUUUCAUUUGGAUCCUUUUCUUUGUUUAUUUGAUAAUUAAAUUUGAUACUUAAGGACCGUCAACAGCCUGCAUGUUCGGUCUCACUCUUCUUAAGCCUCAAAAUCAUGCACAACCCAAAUAGACAACAAAACUCGUGGAGCAUGUUAAGGGUUAGGUAAUUGUCUAGAGCUUAUGAGAGCUUAAUGUGAGAAUUCUAUGAACUCAAUCACAUCAAGUUCCUCUACCAGGUUGUUUUGUGGCUCGAGAUAGAUUUUCAAGCGUUGACCAUUUACCUUAAAAGUGUUACCUAUGUCGUCUUGGAUGGUAAUAGCUCCAUGAGUUGAAGUGUCAAUAACCUUGUAUGGUCCAUCCCACUUACUUCGUAGCUUACCAUGCCCAAAGAGCUUAACUCUUGAAUUGAAUAGUAGAACCUUAUCUCUAGGCUUAAACUCCUUGUGCUUGAUUCUCUUAUCAUGGCAUCGUUUUGUUCUCUCUUUAUAGAUCCUUGAAUUGUGGUAGGCUUUCUCUCUCCAUUCUUCUUGCUCAGAUAGUUGCAUGAGACGAUUUUCGCUAGCGAGGUGGCGAUCCAUGUUCCAUUUCUUGAGUGCCCAAUGAGCCAUAAACUCUACUUCCACAGGCAAAUGACAAGUUCUUCCAUAUACAAGUUGAUAAGGUGACAUGCCUAUGGGUGUUUUGAAUGUAGUUCUAUAUGCCCAAAGUGCAUCAGUUAGUUUGUCCUUCCACCCCUUACCCAUCUCAUCUACGGUCUUUUGUAAAAUAUUUUUGAUUUGUUUGUUAGAAGUUUCGACUUGACCGCUAGUCUGAGGAUGGUAUGGUGUUGCGACGUUGUGUCGAACUCCAUGAUCGGCUAGGUACUUCCGAAAGAUUUUGUCGAUGAAGUGGGAACCUCCAUCAAUUAUAACUAUUCGGGGUAUACCAAAGCGAGGGAAGAUUACUUCAUGGAACAUUCUCUUGGCAUGUUUUGAAUCAGCUGAUCGACAAGGUAGGGCUCCUACCCAUUUGGAUACGUAGUCCACAGCUACUAAGAUAUACUCGCAAUUCCCGGACAUAGGGAAAGGCCCCAUGGAAUCAAUGCCCCAUACAUCGAAAAGUUCUACUUGAAGAUUAUUUGUGAGAAGCAUUUCAUUUCGUGAGUUGAUAUUCCCAUGUUUUUGACAUCGGUGGCAUCUCCUGACAAAGUCCUUUGUAUCUUCAUACAUCGUUGGCCAGAAAAAGCCACUUUGCCAAAUUUUAGCAUGUGUCUGGAAUGCUCCAUAGUGUCCUCCAUAUGGCGAGGCAUGGCAUCUUUCCAUAAUUUGAGUAGCCUCAGCCAUAGGAACAUACCUAAGAGUUUGAAAAGAUUCAUGACACUCAUCACUAAAGAUGAAAGGUGCAUCCUUAGCUAGGAGACUAAUUAGGUGUCUAGCAAUUUGAGAGAAGUUCUUGAUAAAGCGUCUAUAUAACCCUGCAUGUCCCAAAAAGCUACGGAUUCCUUUCACAUUCGUGGGAGGUGGAAGUUUUUCAAUAACUUCAAUCUUUGCUUUGUCCACCUCUAUACCACGUUCGGACACUUUAUGUCCUAGCACUAUUCCUUCCUGAACCAUAAAAUGACAUUUCUCCCAGUUUAGGAUUAAGUGCUUUUCUUCAUAUCACUGCAAGACUCUAUCUAAAUUCUCCAAACAAUGAUCGAAGGUUUUGCCAUAGACGGUAAAAUCAUCCAUGAAAACCUCCAAGAUGUUCUCAAUCAUGUCCGAGAAAAUAGACAUCAUGCACCGUUGGAAAGAAGCUGGAGCAUUGCACAAUCCGAACGACAUUCGUCGGUAUGCAUAAGUUCCAUACGGGCAUGUAAAGGUAGUCUUUUCUUGGUCAUCAGGGUGGAUUGGGAUUUGGUGAUAUCCAGAAUAACCAUCAAGGAAACAGAAGAAAGAGUGGUUUGCAAGCCGUUCCAACAUUUCAUCAAUGAAGGGUAACGGAAAGUGAUCUUUCUUUGUAGCCUUGUUGAGUUUUCGAUAGUCAAUACACAUACGCCACCCAGUGACAAUUCGUUGAGGGAUGAGUUCAUUCUUCUCAUUCCUAACGACCGUCAUUCCUCCUUUCUUUGGCACUACAUGGACAGGGCUAACCCACUCACUAUGUGGCACAGGAUAAAUAAUCCCACCAUGAUAGAGUUUGAGGACCUCUUUCUUAACAACCUCUCGCAUAGCAUUGUUAAGUCUCCGUUGUGGUUCCCUUGAAGGUGUAAAAUUGGGAUCAAUAGGGAUACGAUGAGUGCAGAGAAUGGGACUAAUGCCUGUGAGAUCUUCGAGAGAGUAGCCAAAUGCAUGUGGUAUGGUGAAAAUGGUAAGGCAAUUAGAUCAGGGCCGAGGUCGUAGCCAUCUGUAAGAAUUGGAUGUGAUGAUGGUGGUGGCUCUAAUAACUCGCCCUUUGGAGCAAAGAAUUUAUAAAUAGGAGUGAAAUCCAUGUGGUAUUGUGAAAAUGGUAAGGUGAGUGUGGUAAAAAAAAGGGAAAAGAAAAAGGAUACACGGACGACUUGGUUUGAAACUAGCACAGCUACCGUUCCCCGGCAACGGUGGCAGAAAGCUUGUUGGGUAAUUUAAACGCAAAGAGAAAAAUCCGCAAGCGCACGAAUAUCGAUGUAGAUUUCACUUGAGAGUAUUCCAGAGUAUCGAUUUUUCACAGGGAACGUGAGUGUACUAAUUAAGAUUCAAGAUCGCCCAAGGAUAACUAUAUAAUUAUUUUUGGUGUGAAAAGAGGAAGUUUCCUGAGAGUUCUCUAGUUGAUCUAAGAAUCAAGAAUUACUUCAAAGAUUAUUUAUUUCGGGACAUCAGAACACUAACCAUAGAAAGAGAUGAGAAGGAGGCUAGGAAGCUCUGACUACGGUCCUACAAACACCGAUCUGAACGAGGUGGAAUACGUCGACCGUUAGGGCUGUCACUACCCUAUGGUUACCACAACAAUCCACAGGAUUGCGUGCAAUUCUAGGUAAUUGCAAGACUAAACACCACGUCUAAUCUAUUAAUUACUACUCUAGCGUUGCAAAGACUAGAGCACUUGAUGCAAGCGGGAAUCCAAUAAAUAACUUGAAUGUAAAUAAAAGUAAUUAAACAACUCAGGAAUUAUGAAUUGAAGAACUUGGAGAACGAUGAAGAACGAACCAGUUGCUGCAAAAGUACAAUGCUGAGGAAGAUCUGACAGAUCUGGCUCCUCCUCCGCUCUCCUCUUAUCUCUCCCUAUUUUCUAGAUUACAACUAGAACUAACUAGAACUAGAACUAGAUGAACUAGAACUAGAACUAGAUGAACUAGAGGGAUCCUCUCUACUUGGAUGAAUAAUUGAAACCCUAGCUUUGAUUCUGUAGAAGAGAUAUGCCUCCAGGGGUUUGUGGGGGUUGUUUAUAUAGUCCCUCCAAAUGAAUAUGGACCGUCGGAUCAAACCGACCUUAAUCACGUGGUUUUCCUUAAUCCUCUAGGUCAGUGGAGCAUUAUCCGCGAGAUGAAGCCUGAUUGGCUCAGGCAGCAGGGCGGGCGCCCAAGGGGGGAGGGCGGGCGCCCUGCCCCCGGGCCCGCUCGGCCUCCCGUUCGUUCCCGUGGCUUCUGGAGUCUUCUAGAUGAUAGAAAAUUGGCGCACACAUUAAUAUCUCUAUGUAAACCCGAUGUGUGGGCCUUUCCUCCAUAUUUCCUGAUAACCCCCUGCAGAAAUAGACAAACACCAAAACUCAUGGAAUUCUGUCAGAUGAAACCCUAAUUUUGGAUGUUGGUUGCAUAUAGGUCCUUUUCCAUAAUUAGUUGACGGUUAAAUGUGAGCAUUAAGGACCGUGAACACUUAGGUUGGUGUUGGAGGGGAAACCACUUCACCAACAAAAUUUGAUGGUUUCCCAAGGACAAGCUUAGUGUCCUAAAACAAGCACUUAUCAGAUCGUAACAUGAACUUUUAAUUAUUUACAACAUUGCCUUGUGCAUUGAGCAUAUAAAGAUAAUUGUAGAAAUAUUCCUUCGGGUAUUCAUGUCACUAACCUUUAUAGGAUUGGAGCAAGAAGAUCCGAGGAAUUACAAGCGCAAGGUAUGCCCAACCAAUCAUCAUGCAACAUUGAAUUAAAUUCAUCCAAUCUUGAAUUUUGUAAAAUUCAAGCUUGGGGGAAAUACAUUACAUAAGAACAUCCUUUGCCAUGUUGCUAUGUUGGUUGUUCUACUUUUGAGGCAUGCUCAAUUUUUCUAAACACUAAACUUAUUUUUCAUCUCCACCUAAGUAGAUCUCUAUAAAUGUUGUCAUGCUACUUUUGUCUAUUCACAAGCAAGUGUUGGUUUGGAAGUACUCGACAUACUUCCAUUGGCAUUUAAAUUAAGCGUGGUGCUUAGGUUAAAUAGCCUUCCUUAGUCUGAUUAGACAUGGAGUCUAGAUUGGUUACUGAACUAAAAACUGCUUGAGUAGACAUUGGUAUAUGUUGUCAGACUAACCCCUGCUAGAAAACUUUCAAUAUCAACCUGGGAAGUCCUGAGAUACAAACUCACAUUGGUUACAAAGGAGAAACAUGAAGUUUAACGAUUUGCACAAGGAAGACAUAGCUCAUUCAUCAUAGAGAGAUGAUUCAUGGAACUAGACAAAGAGUGCCACAAACACGGUGCACAACCGCUAAGAAAGGAAAGCUUCCACAAGGUUAUACUAUACCAUCACUCUUCAAGUAAGGUAACAUCUGAAGAUAUGUGACUAUCACUUUUAUAAACUUCUCCUUGGUUCCGGCAUUCACAUAAAUAAAGAGACAAACAAACAUCUAUGAUUUAUUACUCCAAAUUAACCAACCCAACUGAUUCAGCAUGUUUAGUUCUUUAAUCUUUGUUCCUAGUACUACCUCCAUGAUCCCACACUCCUAAUCAUAUAAGCUAAAAUGUUGCACAUUCAAUCUUUGGAAGAUAUAAAAAAACAUAAAUAUAGAUAGAUUAUCUUUCCAUUAGGAUGAGCGAUCUGAUCUGACAAAUGUUUUAAAUGCUACACUCAUGAUCUUAUUAUCCAUCAACUUUGUCUUGCUCACUAUGCUUAAGGUUAGAGAAGAACAAAUACACUUUUGGUUCUGUUGGUGUUUUUUCACCAAUAGGGCCCAUGCACUUGAUCUCUGCCUAGUCUCUAUGAGCAGGUACACUUUGAGCAAAACCUAAAGGAGUUUUACAACUCCUAGAUUCCACCACGUGAAGGACUUGGAUCUACGAGCACAAACACACUGAGCAAGAUGCUGCCAAUGCCGCACCUCGAAGUGCUGGACAAACGAAGAACAUGGGUGACACCGUAUCAAGAGGUGCAGAUGUCAAGGCCCACACCUAAUCAAAUGAUGCACCUAAAGGAUGAACACGGUGAGAAGUCUUGUCCAGAUGACUUAAAACAUUGGAUCCUUGCCGGAAGGUAAAAUCGGUAUUUAUCCAUAUUUAUCUUUUCUGCAUUCCUUUUCCUCUUUAUUCCAUCACUUACAUUAGCAUAUUUACUUUUCGACAUUAGCAUUAGAAAAGAAAACAAAAUUAUUUGUUCAUUGCACUGCAUCAUAAAAUCUAAAGCCCCAUGUGAGUAGACUUGUGGUUUAAAACCCAUAGGUAUACUGACUGUGGUGGCAUAAAAUAAAUAUGUUUUCAUCUUAUAAUAAAAAAUAUAAAAAUAAUAAGUGUAUGAUCCUGCUAAAUAAAAUUUAUUAGGAGGAAUAUCAAUAUGAUAAGGCUAAGAGAUUUUAUGCUAACACUUAACGAGUUCCACAAAGCUUCGUUGUCUAUUUGAGCUCCACAGAAUUCAAGGAUCAAAGAAGACUAGCCGGCGGAGGACAUAAUAAUCGCUGUUAGGGUGCUGCCGACAUUCAAAUACACCUCCUUUCACCUGCUAGCUACAUCAGAAGAAAUUACGUCAAAAUUCAGCUUGGGGGAGAGCACCCCCAUUUAUCCAGCUAAGUGUUUCUACUCGCGUUUAUACUUUACUUAAAUAAUAAAAAGAUGCAUGAUAAUGAAAACCUAAAUAAAAAUUUUGUGCUUAUAUAUAUCUUUGCUCAGUUUGCUAAAUAAAUAAAUAAAGUGUCUAGGCAGAACUUAAAUGAUAAACUCUUACAUGGAUAUGAUAAAUAGUUGUUGUACCAUGUACCUAGUUUUCAAGUUUGAGCUCUGUCUCAAGUAUAGGCAUAACUGUUAUAAUUUAAACCUGCUCUAAAACUUAACUUGUGGGAAGAGUACUUGAUCUAAAGUCUAAGUCGUUAACGGAAAUGAUAUGGAAAGGUUGAGCUGUUGUUUAUCUAUUCCUAGAGAUGCUAGAAUUCUGGAGAAUUUUGUCUUUGAAAAUCUUUAAAAUAACACAUGAUGAGUUCCUGUAUGAUGAGAGUUUAAAAUCCUACCACAGCCAUAUAAACAUGCUUAUUAGACUAUGAACCAUAUAUUUACUUUUUACUGCUUAUGAGCAUUGAGUGUGGUCAAGCUGUGUAGACCCUUAGGAGCUUGUCAUGCGGUUAAAAUCAAGAUUCACUUGCACGUUCACUCACACAUGCUGCUUCUACUCCGGAAGUACGCAUCCACAUAUAUCCACUCAUUUCCAUCUCCAGAGCCACCCAAAAGUAUUCUACUCCUAAUCCGGGAGAGAAUAGCCAAAAACAUUCUACUAUUUCUGUUUUUCCCUGUGCAAUAAAUGCUCGAGUUAUCUUGGUUACUACCACUUGCUAUAUUAUUUCAGGAGAUGAGUGCUCUAAAAAAGAGAAAAAAAAGAAAAAAAGAAAGAGAAAGGAUACGAGGAAAUAAAAAGGGGCAAGUGCCCAGAACCUCGAAAGAAAAGAGAAAGUGAGACGAGAGGUAAAAAUGGACAAGUGUCCGACAGUAGAAUUAGGGGUACAAGAUACCCACCUGAGAGGAAAGAAAAAGAAAAUGUAGAGCAUCUCAUUCUCCUAAAAAAGCUUCAAAGUGCAAGAAAGGUAUGUAUCCCCUUAAAGGAGCAAAAGUAGAAUUAGACUUUCACCAUUGUUAUCACCAUACACCAUUCAUUCACCACACAUGCACAUCUUGAUUUGACUUAUUGAAUUGUUUCUCUGGAUGCAUAGUUUGACUAUGCAAUAAAUGUCUUGUAAGUAUGUAUUAUCCAUCUCCCACCUAUGAGCUCUAGAUAUCAAAACCUUAUUAGAGUAGGGUGAGAGAGAAAGCAAUAUUACUAUGCCUCAUACCAAAAAUACCACAGACUUUGAGAGAAGGCAUAUACCAUUACUGCCUUGGAAAGGACCUAGAAAUAACACAAAAGAGAGAUUUGAAAGAGUCAUACAAGGAAUCUCUGAGUUUUAUUUGAAAAUCUGCAAAAACUCCAGAGUUAUAGUUAAUCAAAGAACAAGAGACAUGACGCUUGACUAGACUAUUCUAUCUUUUAACUGCUCAAGACACAAGUGACGGUUGCAAGCCCCAUGGUGAAAGGUAAAAUGAGUAAGUUUUCAAUCUUAAUAGUUUACUCUAACUGAGAGAUGAGAUCUUGCUUGAACGCAUGUGUACUUUUAAGGCAUGAAACCAUUACAGAAACUCUUGAGUACAUCCUUGCUCAAGGACGAGCAAGAGGUAAGCUUGGGGGUUGUUGACGGUCCUUAAAUACCAAAUUUAAUCAUCAAAUAAAUAAAGAAAAAGAUCCAAAUGCAACCAACACCUAGACUUAGGGUUUUAUCUGACAGAAUUCCACGAGAUUUGGUGUUUGUCUAUUUCUGCAGGGGGCUAUCAGGAAAUUUGGAGGAAAGGCCCACAUGUCGGGUUUACGUAGAGAUAUUAACGUGUCGCGCAAUUUUCUAUCAUCUAGAAGACUCCAGAAGCCACGGGAACGAACGGGAGGCCGAGCGGGCCCGGGGGCAGGGCGCCCGCCCUCACCCCUUGGGCGCCCGCCCUGCUACAAAGACCAAUCAGGUCCUGUCUCGCGGAUUAUGGUCCACAGACCUAAAGGAUCAAGGAAAACCGUGCGAUUAAUGUCGGUUUGAUCCGACGGCCCACGUUCACUGGAGGGGACUAUAUAAGCAGGAACCCUGGCCCCUAGAGGAGAGCAAUCCCAUUAUACAUUAGCAUAUUUUCCAGAGAGGAUUCAGAGAGAGGUCCCUCUAGGGAUCCAACCUCAUAGGGCUUAGCAUCUAAUGUGAGAGUAGAAUUAGUUCUACUAGAUUGAGAGAGAUAGAGUGGAGGUCCUUAAGUAUCAAAUUUAAUUAUCAAAUAAAUAAAGAAAAGGAUCCAAAUGAAAUCAACAUCUAGACUUAGGGUUUUAUCUGACAGAAUUCCACGAGUUUUGGUGUUUGUCUAUUUCUGCAGGGGGUUAUCAGAAAAUACGGAAGAAAGGCCCACACGUCGGGAUUACAUAGAGAUAUCAACGUACCGCACAAUUAUCUUACAUCUAGAAGACUCCAGAAGCCACGAGACCGAAGCGGAGGCGAAACGGGGCUAGAGGCAGGGCGCCCGCCCUCCUGCCCUGGGCGCCCGCCCCCUCUGGGGGUCCAAUCAGGACUCUGCUUCGCGGGAGAUCUCCACCGACCUAAAGGAUGAAUCUAAACCAUACAAUCUAUGUCGGUUUGAUCCAAUGGCCCAUAUUCACUUAAAGGGACUAUAAAACCAGACCCCCUGGCCCCUGGAGGAGAGAGCCUCUCAACCCUAAUUCAUUGUUCUUCAAGGGAGAAGAAGCCUCUGAUCAAGAUUAGAGCCACCACAUCAAUUAGAUAUCUAGAUUAGCAUAGCUACAUAGCAUUAGAACUAGAAGGAGUCAAUCUUCGAUUGUGUUGACACCGUUUUUGGGCACGUGUCUAGGAUGGCAGGAUAAGGUGGUAGUACGAUGUUUAUAAAGUGGGUUGCCGAUG
rnacentral:lncRNA from 1 species